rnacentral:lncRNA from 1 species
UUAGUCUGAAGUUUUAGCAAGUGAACUAAAAAACUUAAGCAUGUUUAGUCUGAAGUUUUAACAAAUGAACUAAAUAACUUAUGCAUGUUUAGUAUGAAGUUUUAGCAAAUGAACUAAAUAACUUAAGCAUGUUUAGUAUGAAGUUUUAGCAAAUGAACUAAAAAUUUUAAGCAUGUUUAGUCUGAAGUUUUAGCAAAUGAACUAAAUAACUUCAAUAUGUUUAGACUGAAGUUUCGGAUAAAACUCAUGACAAAGCUGUACACUGCAGGAUAAAUAACCUCAGCAUGCAUUAGCAUGAAGUUUUAGCUUCAAGGUGAAACAACUUCAUAUAAGUGUGAUUCUGAAGAUGAAUCUGGACAAGUUUCUGAUUUUUCUGAUAAAGCUGCUGAGAAGAGAGAAGGAGAUACUUUUUCACGAAUGAGGUUGCAGAUUACGCGAUUAAUACGUGAUGCAGGUUUUACAUCUUUUGUUAGGGGUGUACUUGUCAUAUUAUUACGGAUUUUUUGUCAGCUGACUACCAAAUUAAUAAUUUUUAAAAAUAGGGUACAAGUUAAAAUAUGACACAAAUAUAGGGUACGACAAAUUCUCCGAUUACGAAUGAUUAACUCCGAACAUGAUAGUCUCCUAAAGACGAUAGUGAAAAUAAAAGCGAAAGGUAAUUGACUUGUAGUAAUUGGAUUUGGGCCCGACGACAAAGUCGGAUCCAGGACAUAGUAGCAGAAGCCCAAUAUCUACUGGGCCGAGCUAUCGCAUUAUUGCUUUUGCCCCCUUCCUCGAAACCCUACUAUAAAAUUUCUAGGGCUCUAAAACACUCCCUUUUCUGAUACAUCAGCAGCAGACAGCAGCAAAGACUCUUUCUCCGCCGAAGGUGAACAACUCUCUCCUUAUUCUCUCUCUUUAUAUACAAACACAAAAAUCAUGCGAAAUGUGCGUUAUUUUAACUAUUAGAUUUAGUGCCGCAGGUGAAGAAUCGGAGCAGAGAAGAAAAAAUGGACGCAGGUGUAGUGGCUGCCCCAGUAGAUGCAAGCGCAGAGAAUAAGGUUCACAGUGAUGUUAUGCUUUUCAAUCGCUGGACCUACGACGAUGUCCAGGUACCUUAAAAAUGCUCAUUUUAUUCAGUCACAUGUCUAUAGCUGCUAAUAACUCUUUCCUUUGUACUUUUUUUAUUUUAUUUGCACAGGGAAAAUUACAGUUUAUUGCGCCUGUAUAUUUUAAUUUUGAAAUUGGAAAAGUAACCUAGAUUCAAGCUGAAUGUACUUAGUUUUGUGUUUAUUAUUAUAUGUGGAAAAUUGCUGCUUAUAGAGCUUUAGUAUCUAAAUUUUGAUAUUUGAAAAAAAACUAAUCUGGUUGAUGUAUCUUGAUAAUUUGUUAAAUUGACUUUCCAUAAGCAGAAAACUGAUUUUACAACUUAUAGGGCCUGUAUAAAAAAAGCAGCAGUAAGAUAGUAAUAUGCCAGAUGAAAAUGCAGCAAGUUGAAUUCCAAGCAAGUUGGACUGGCAAUACGAAUCCUCACUAUCUACAUUGCUCCAUUAAGCACUUGAUGUUUUCCACAUUUAUACCAAGUAUAUAUAUCUCUAACAGGACCAAGAGACUCCUAAGGAUUAUUGGACUUAUAGUGAACUUACUAACUUUACUAAAACUUUACUUUAGCAAAUUGGUAUCAUCUAUAUACAUCUUUUCUUUCGCUGCCAUAUUUUUCACUAGUUUGCAUUGAAUCCAGGUUAUUGUAGGACUUUUGAGACUACUUACUUCUAUGUGAAUUUAGGUUUGCAUGUCCCCCUUUAGAAUGUUUGACUCCUAUAGGCUGGUGUCAGAUAGCCAAAUAAGCUAAUUCGGUGGGGAGUGGGAUUAGGAGGGCAAAAAUUAUGGGCUUUAUUUUUAGUUGGUUAUUCCCUGAAAUAGAAGAAGGAGAAGUAAGUAGGUGUUGCUACUCAGUAUAAGUGUAAUUCUUACUCAAUAACAUCCCGGAAGUGGAGAACGUUGUGUUAGAAUUGUAAAUGAAAAAAAUAAUGCAGACACUGGAGAGAGAGAGAGAGAGGGAGGGAGGGAGGGAGGGAGGGAGGGAGGGAUCUGUUUCUGCCUUUUUUACUCAAGAGUACUAUUUUUAAUUUUUCUAUUAGAAAGUUUUCUCCUUAACUAUGAUCUCACUUUUUGGUGAAGAUCAAUGACAUCUCUGUUGAGGAUUACAUCACAGCAACUGCUUCCAAGCAUCCGGUUUACAUGCCGCACACAGCUGGCAGAUACCAGGCUAAGCGUUUCAGGAAGGCCCAGUGCCCAAUUGUUGAGAGACUCACCAACUCUCUGAUGAUGCAUGGACGGAACAACGGAAAGAAGCUAAUGGCUGUCCGUAUCAUCAAGCAUGCAAUGGAGAUCAUCCAUUUGUUGACUGACCAGAACCCAAUUCAAGUCAUUGUUGAUGCCGUCAUUAAUAGGUGCACCCACGCAGAUGAUCGGCUUUUAAUUCAUUCAUAUAUUCUUCAAUCUUUUAUUUUGUUUUAUUUUAAAUGGGGGUAACAAUGGGCCCAUUUCUGCAUCAAAUGCUUCCGUAUUUGCAAAUACUGAACUUUGACUAUCCAAAGUGCUGGUGGAUCAUUUGAAAUACUAGUUUGAGGAGUUUCUCAAAUAAAAUAAUGAUUUUACUCACAAAUCUUCAACUUUUUAAACAUCUUUUCCAGGUGUAGUUCAUGUCUAAACACAACUUCAGCUUUCAAAUACUCUUUUCCAACUUCAACUUCAGAUCCUUUUUUUCAACUUCAACUAAAUAUUGUUCAAAUACCCUACUAUUAUAUCUGUCUCACUGAUAGCUUUGUCUUCUCCAUUUGAUCAUAUUAGUGGGCCAAGGGAAGAUGCAACUCGUAUUGGUUCAGCUGGUGUUGUGAGGCGUCAGGCUGUUGAUAUUUCUCCACUUCGCCGUGUUAACCAGGCGAUUUAUUUGCUGACAACUGGUGCACGUGAGAGUGCUUUCAGGAACAUCAAGACAAUAGCUGAGUGCCUUGCAGAUGAACUCAUCAAUGCUGCCAAGGGUUCUUCAAAUAGGUAAAAUGCUUGAGAUUUUGAGUGUUCUCUGAUCUUAGAAAAUUAUAGAUAUAUUCCAAACGUACUGCUUCGUUGUAAAAUUGUAUACUUGUUGGCGAACCUUUUUUUUUUUUUUUUCCAAAUCGAUUUUUUUGGAUAUGUGCGACUUUAUUGCUUACUGCUGUUGAUGAUUUUUGUUUCUGCAGCUAUGCCAUUAAGAAGAAGGAUGAGAUUGAAAGAGUUGCUAAGGCCAACCGUUGAGAGGUCAAUGGAUCAGUAUUUACUAUACAGUUUUGGGUUAUGCUGUUUUCUCAUUUCUGUUUUCGUUUAGCACUAUAGCCUGUCAUGGAAAUGAAAGUGGAUUGGAGUAGCACCACAGCUGUUGCAUGUGGAUUUUAAUUUCUUAAGAGUAUUUUGCUUGUUGAAACUUGAUAAGCUUGGAAUUGUUAUAGAUGUCAAAAUUUGAAUUCCUUGGGGAUCUCAUUAGCAUUAUCUGCUAUUCCUUGUCGAUUUUAAUUUCUCAGUGAUUCUCUUCUUUUAAGUAAACAGUGAAGACAUGUCCAGUAGCUUGUGCAUUUUAAUGUGGUGAUAAUUAUCCUCAAUAACCUUUUGGUUAUAUCUGAAGCAUAUGUGUGCUAUUGUUGUAUGGAUGCUCUUAGAUAUUCUCAUUGGUCCGUAUAUUUAUGUAUGGUUGAGCAAAUGGAUUAUAGGAAAUUAAGGAUAAUUUUAGGGACUUCAAUUUUGCUUCAUAACAGUACUUUACCUUUUUAUGAUAUUACAUUAUCUUUUUUGUUUUGAUUUUUUUUGUAACAGUACUUUUAAUCUCCUUAUUAUUAAUGUUGAAAAAUUAUAGUUUGACUAAUUACCCUCUCCUUGUUUUAAAUUCUUUUAAUUAAUUAUAUAAAUACCUUAUUUAACAUCUUUAAGAAACUAGUCCUAUAGGGCAAAGUGAGCAUCUUUUUAAUUUUAAACAAAUUUUGUAUACUUGGGCUUGAAACUAUCAAGAACUUUUAUUACGUGACUAACUUAUAAGUGACUUGAUUGAGUAAAAUAAUUUCUGUGAUAAUGCAUAAAACUCAAACUAUAAUUAGAUCAUAUCAUCAAUUUCCACUCUUCGCAUUCGUUUUCAUCACUCAACUAGAAGCCUUGGCUGGUUUUUGACAUAUACUUCUUUCUUUGGUGCAUGCAUGGACUGGCUUAAACACUGGAUAACUAACAUAUACAGUGUCAGGUCUAGUAAUUUGUCACGUACAACAACUUGCCAAUCAACCUCUGAAAACAGGUUCGAAUCUCCAGUAGUGUAUCGCUAACAUCUGUCUUAACACAUCAAAUUCUGUACUAGGUAGCUUUAGAUUCUGUUCCAUUGGAGUUUCCUUAAGCAUUGAUCCAGCGACACUCUGCCUCGGAGAUCAUUUCUAAAGCAUAUUUUCUUCGGGACAUAAGGAUGCCUUAUCAUGAUUUGGCAAAUUCUAUCCCUAGAACAUAUCCUAGUUCUCUAAGAUCCUUAAGUUUGAAUUUUUAAUGCAAUGCUGCCUUAGAUGUCUGAAUUUCUUGUAAAUCAUGGCAAGUAAAUCAUCUACAUAGACAGAUAUAAGAACAAACUUGUCGUUGUUGAGAACCAGACUUCAACAAGACUUGUGUGAACUUCAAAUUCCAUUGCCUAGAGUAGUUUACAUACCCUAUGCUCCCCCUGACAACCAAAUUCUUGAGGUAAAGUCAUGUAGACUUCCUCAAAGGGAUCACCAUUCAAAAAAGCAUUAUGCACAUCUAUUUGGUAAAUAAGCCAGUGUCUAAGAGCAGCAAUGGUUAUAACAGUUCUCACAAUAGUCAUCUUACCUACAGGAUAAAGAGUGUCAUGGAUAAAUCUAUGCCCUCUUGUUGAGUGUAGCCCUUUGCAACUAAUCUAGUUUUGAGUCUUUUAACUGUAUCAUCAACAUUGUAUUUAAUUUUGUACAUCCAUUUGCACCCUACACCCUACAGGCACCUUGCCAGGAGGCAAAUCAACCAUAUCACAAGUGGAGUUUUGUUCUAGGGCUUUAAUCUCAAGCUUCGUUGUCUUGACCCAUCUGUCAUCUUUGAUAGUUUGGGAAUAAGAAGUUGGUUCAGUAUUUAAAGAAAAAGAAGCCAAAAAGGACCAAAAAUAUAAAGAAAGACGAGAAUAAAAGACAAACUAGUGUAUGAGAUAAGGAGAGGAAUAAGAGGUAGAAGGUAAAUGUGGGUGGACAUAAUCAGUUAACCAAAUAGAACACUUGGUAACCCUGCCAAACUCUUUAAGUUGUACAGAAUUUAUGGACUAGAUAGCUACAGUAUCUGUGUAAUAUUAGGAGAAGAAGAGGGUAAGACAACAUAACUAGGUAAAAAGGAAGAAAAAGAAUCAGGAAGAAUAGAGUCAUGGAAAGUGGAAGGAAGUUCUGGCGAGUCAGAAGAAGAAGCAGUAAGCUCUGUUGAUUCAUGAGAAGAAUCAGACAUACUAGGUGGCUCAGGAAUAGUAUUAUCAAUUACUAUCUCAGUGGUAGGGAACAAGUCUGAGUCAGACUGAGCAGGAUUAUAGUAAAAAAUAACAACAAAUCUGUGUUUAGGAUACUUAAAGAAAAUAUCCCUUCUUUGAACACAACAUCCCUGCUAACUAUAAACUUAUUAGCAACAAUGUCAGACAUCUUGUAUCCCUUCUGUGUAGGUGCAUAUCCCAUGAAAAUAGUACAAACAGAUUUAGGGGUGAACUUAUCAUGGAAAUCAUAGCAGAGACAUCCCAUAAUUCUCAUGUGGUCAAAAGAAGGUGGCUUGCAAUGGAACAUCUCAUAAGGAGACUUUCCAUGUAAAGUAAAGCUGGGUAAUCUGUUAACAGGUUGCUGCAAGGAUACAAUCACCCUAAAAUUUUAGUGGUACGUUGGCUUGAAAUCUUAGGGCUCUUUCUAGUUCAAGGAGGUACCUGUGCUUUCUCUUUAUAACUCUAUUUUAUUGUGGAGUAUGAAAUUAAAACACCUGCUUUUGGAGUUUGAAAAGGUUAAAACAAAGGGUGUUAAAAAUUCAUAUCUAUUGUCUGAUCUGAAGGAUUUAACAGUGGUAGAAAAAUGAUUUUCCACAAGGUGAAGAAAAUCUUUCAGGGUAGCAUACACAUCAUUUUUCAAUUUCAAAAGCAAGUUAAUAUCAUUUUGGUAUAGUCAUUAACAAGAGUAAAAAAAAAAUAUUUGAAACCAUUAUAAGUACAUACUCUGUAGGGGCCCCAAACAUCUAUAUGUACAAUCUCAAAUGAACAUGUAGACUUAGAAGUACUAACAGAAAAUGAUAAUCUAGUUUACUUGGCUAAUGGACAACCAUGAUAGUUACAAGUAGAUACACUAGACAAAUAUUUAUUUAUUUUAGGAAUCUUCUGUAAAAAUGACACAAGGGCUUAGCCUAGUCUUUAAUGCCACAAUAUAUUUGUGCUUGCUUGAACUGAAGUAGACAUGCAUUUAGAAGGAGGAACAAUAGCAGGUGUUGAAAAAUUGAAAAUAUAGAGAUCACUCUUGAGCCUACCAAUCUCCUUUACCAUGCCACUGGAGAGGUCCUGAAAGAUACAAAAAUCAUGAUAAAAAUAGACUAGACUAUUUAAUUCCUGUGUAUACUUAGACAUAAAGGAUAGAUUAUAUAGGAAUUCAGGAACAUAUAGUACAUUAAAGAGUUUCUGAGUUGAACAAGGUACAAGAUCCAGUGCGAGUGAUUUUAGUGCUAUUACCAUUAGGCAAAUGCACAGAUGUAGAUUUAGGCUCAUGCACUGGAUUAAAGCUUGACAGAAGGUUCAAGGAUGAAGCCAUAUGAUUAGAAGCACAAAAAUUAAUAAUCUAACAGCUUUGUUCAAUGAGUGAUUAACCUUCCAUACUGGCCCCAUUUGCAGGUUGCUUCUCCUUGCUUAGCAUCUUGAUAAUCUGUUAAUACUGCUUUAUAGUGAAAGUCUGAACAAUUGUGACUGUAUUUGGAAUAACAUUUGCAUUAUCUGCAUUCUAAAAUUCGACUCCAACAUUUGCAUUGCGUGCCAUAGCUCCAGGUUGUCCUGUGCUUAUUGUCACGACUCAAUUCCCGCCUUAGGCCGUGAUGGCGCCCAACAUCGUCGUUAGGAAAUCCAAUGGUGAACCAUCAAUUUAAUUAUCUAUUAACUGCAGAAAACCAUAAAGAUAUAAAGUGUUAAUAAAAUAUGAAACAAAAUGAUGAUAAUAUCACGUACAACCAUAGUCAUUUACUAGAAACUUCUCAAAAUUCGCUGUCACAAGUGCAUGAGCAAUCUAGUAGAAUAUACGAACCACUAUAGCUACUGUCUGAAAUGAAAAUAUAACAAGAAGGAGACUCCAGAUGCUGCAGAUCGGAGCAUGGAGAACAACUCACCACUAAGUCUUUGAAUAACGUGUAUGCGCGCCCGAAUGGCCACCAGAUGUACCCAUCUCACUACCUGCACAAUUAAUGCAGAAGUGUAGCAUGAGUACGUAAAACAAUGCGCACCCAAUAAGUAUCUAGUCUAACCUCGAAAAAGUAGUGACGAUGGGUCGACAUUGACACUUACUAGUGGUCAAUAAAUAAAGUACAUGAAUUAUAAAUAGGCAUGAAGCACAACAGUAAUAAUGGAGUACGAAAGACUGUAAGUAACACGAUCCCCAACAUAAUGGCAGUAUAAAAUCCCCAAAUAUCAUGUAAUAUCUCAAACAAAUAAGAACUAUCAAGUAAAUAUCAAAUCUCAAGUCAAGAAGGAAAUAUCAUGUAUAUUCUGAUUCCUAUUGAUAUUACACACGAAUUAUGCCGAGGUUGUACGACCCGAUAUCUAAUAAUCGUGUACACUGUCGAGGUCGUACGACUUCCAUGGAUAGAUCUCAAAUAUACUGUCAAGGUCAUACAACCCGAUCCAAAAUACUAUUUUAUAGCACAACCAGGGCGUACGACCCGAUCCACAGGAAUAGAGAAACUUUUCGAACUACGGGUCAAACAAUUACAACACAAGGAUGGGCACAUAAAUAACGCAUGAUUUUUACCAACAAUCAAGUAUUCCGCCAAAAACUCAAAGUAAUGAAGCUCAGACUAACAUAAUCCCUAAUCAAAUUUUAAUUAUAAAUUUAAGUAAUUAGACUAACAAGUAGAGCUUAAAUAAUACAAAUAUUGCAUGAUAAAGUCCUAAGUCUACCCGGACAUAAAUAUGAUUUUAGCUACAUACGGAAUCUUGUCACCUCGUGCGUAUGUAGCACCCGCAACUAGUAGCAACUAACAAUUUAAGCACCCACGGGGAUAAUUCCCUCUUACAAGAUUAGGCAAGAGACUUACCUUACCUCCAAGCCCUCUACUCGUCUCACAAACCACACUAGUCACCUCAAAACAACGCCGAGCAACUUGAAACUAGUCAAAAGUCAUACAAACUAAUCAGUAUAUACUCAAAAGUUCAUAAUUCAUCUAUUAGAGUAAUUUCCCAACCUAAUUCGAAAAGUCCAUAAAAGUCACCCUAAGGCCCACAUGCCCGGAUUCCAAAAUGUUUUGUAGAUAAACGUUAUUCAUGACCUUACGAACUCAAAUAUAUAAUUUAUACUCAAUUCCAUAAUCAAUUUUAUGGUCAAAUCCCGUUUUUACCAAACCCUAGGUUUUUCAACAUAAUCCCAUAAUUCUAAUAAUUUCUAUAUUAAAAUCUACCCAAAAUAUAUAUAUUUAACUUACAUUAGGUAGAAAUCACUUACCUUCAAAUGCUAGGUGAAAAUCCCUCUCUAAGAAGCUCUAAAAUCGGCCAACACAAAUGAAGAAUGACAAAAAUAAGCCUAAGCCCCGACCUUUAAAAUCUUUCUCCCUAGGUACUCCUUCUAAUCUAGCCGCCCAAAAUAUCCUUCGCGUUCGCGACAGUCCGGUCGCGUUUGCGAUGUACCACCUCCCAGCCUUCCGCGUUCGCCUUCCCCCAGUCGCGUUUGUGAAUGCCAAAAGCCUUUCAGCCCAACUCAGCCCCGCCCUUCUUCGCGUUUGCGAGGGAGGCUACGCAUUCGCUAAGAGGAACCCGAUCCUCCAUAGAGUUCACAAGGCCCUCCUCUCAUUCGCGGAGAGAAAAAUGACAGACCCUUCUCCAGUCUUCUUCAUGAUCGCGGGACUUCCUUCGCAAUCGCGAAGCACACCAGCAAUUUCAGCCAACUUCAACUUUGCUCUGGGUGGUCCGAAAUACACCCGAGCCACCCGGGACCCCGUCCAAAUGCACCAAAAAGUUCAUAAACAUUAUCCGGAUCUACUCGAAGUCUCGAAACAUAUAAAACAAUAUCAAAACCAAGAAUCGUACCUCUAAACCAAAUUAGUCAACCUUUAAACUUCAAACGUUUUCCAACUAGCUCCGAACGUGACGAAUCAUAUUUAGACAACUCCGAAUGAUGCCAAAUUUUACACACAACUCACAAAUUACAAUACCAAUCUAUUCCAAGGCUCGUAAUCCCAAAUGGACAUCGAUAUCACCAAAGGCUAUUUCAAACUAAACUUAGGAAACUCUAAAACCUUCAAGACGCCAAUUUUCAACAAUAAGCGUCGAACGUUCUCGGAUCACCCGAAACUCGAUCCGAACACACGCCCAAGUUCAAAAUCAUCAUACAAACCUAUUGGAACUUUUAAAUCCUGGUUCCGAGGUGUUACUCAAAGUGUUGACGCAAGUCAAACUUGGCCACCUUAGGUCACUACUAUGGAACUAAGUGUCCCGAAUUCAACCCAAACCCUUCCAAAACCAAACCAAUCAUCACCACAAGUUAUCGAACAGUAAAAGUAUGUACGGGAAGUCUUAAAUACAGGAACGCGGAUCUAGAAAGCAAAGUGACCAGUCGGGUCGUUACAUUCUCCACCUUUUAGACAAAUGUUCGUCCUCGAACGGGUCUAGAAUCAUACUUGGAGUGACGAAUAAGUGUGGAUAUAUGCUCUGCUUGUCCUCUUAGGUCUUACAAGUUUCCUUCUCAACUGGUUGACCCCUCCACUAGAUCUUUACCACUAAAAUCUUCUUAGACCUUAACUUGCGGACUUGCCUGUCAGUAAUAACAACUGGCUCCUCCUUAUACCCCAAGCUCUCAUCUAGUUGAACUGUGAUGUAAUCUAACACAUGGGACCAAUCGGCAUGGUACCUCCAGAGCAUAGACAUGUGGAAAAACGGUUGCACUCUCGAUAGGCCGGGAGGCAAAGCAAACCUAUAUGCAACCUCGCCAACUUGAUCCAAUACCUCCAAUGGACUGCUGAACCUCAGACUCAGCUUGCCCCUCUUUCCGAACCUCAUAAUACCCUUCAUCGGCGAGACUUUCAAGAGAGCCUUCUCGCGUACCAUAAAUGAUAAAUCAUGCGCUUUAUGAUCCGCGUAACUCUUCUAUCUGGACUAAGUUGUGCGAAGUCACUCCUGAAUCAACUUUACCUUAUUCAAGGCAUCCUUUACCAAAUCAGUACCAUAUAACCUAGGCUCACCGGGCUCAAACCAAUCGAUGGGGGAACGACAUCGCCGACCAUACAAGGCCUCAAAUGGAUCCAUCUCGAUGCUGCACUAAUAACAAUUGUUAUAGUCAAACUAGGCCAAAGGUAAGAAUUGAUCCCACUGUCCUCCGAAGUCAAUCACAAAUGCUCUGAGCAUAUCUUCCAGAAUCUGAACUGUCUGCUCCGAGUGUCCGUCCAUCUGCGGAUGAAAGGCCAUGGUGAGCUAUACCCGGGUACCUAAAUCACUAUUUAUAGUUCUCUAGAAAUGUGAAUUGAGUGCCUCUAUCUGAAAUAAUGAAGAUAGGCACACCAUGAAAUCAGAUGAUCUCCUGAACAUAAAUCUGGGCCAACCUCUCUAAGCUGUAUGCAGUCAUCACCAGAAUAAAGUGUACAGACUUGGUCAGUCUGUUGACAAUAACCCAAACGGCAUCAAAACUUCUUCAACGUCCGCGGUAAACCAACUAUGAAAUCCAUCAUGAUGUGCUCCCACUUUCACUCUGGUAUAACUAUUUGAUGAAUAAAGCCACCUGGCCUAUGGUGCUUGUACUUAACUUGCUAGCAAUGCAAACACCUCGCCACAUACUCAACUAUGUCCUUCUUCAUCCACCACCAUCAGUAAUGCUGCCUCAAGUUAUGAUACAUCUUCGUGACACUUGGAUGAAUAGGAUAAUGCGAACUGUGUGUCUCCUCUAGAAUUGUCUCCCUCAGGACAUUUACAUUAGGAACACAUAGGCGACCCUGGAGUCACAUAACACCAUCAUAUCCGAUAGUAACCUCCUUGGCAUCAUCCCAUAGCACUAUCUCUCUAAUAACCAUCAAAUGCGGAUCAUCGUACUAACGAGCCUUGAUCCGCUCGAAUAAAGAAGACCGAGCCACAACACAUGCAAGAACUCGACUCUGGAUCUGAAAUAUCCAACCUCAAAAAUCAGUUAGCUAAGGACUAAAUGUCCAAAGCCAAUGGCCUCUCCCCUGCUAAAAUGAAUGCCAAACUACCCAUACUCUCGGCCUUUAUGCUCAAGGCAUGCGCAACCACAUUUGCCUUGCCCUGAUGAUAAAUAAUGGUAAUAUAAUAAUCCUUCAGUAACUCAAGCCACCCGCGCUGCCUCAUAUUAAUGUCCCUCUGCUUAAAAAAAUGCUGCAAACUGCGGUGAUCAGUGUAAACCUCGCACGACACCCCAUAAAGAUUAUGCCUCAAGAUCUUGCGGGCAUGAACAAUCACAACCAACUCCAAAUCCCGCAUAAGAUAAUUCUUCUCCUGGGGCAUUAGUUGACGUGAAGCAUACUUAAUAAUUCGUCCCUCCUGCUUUAGUACACAACCCAAACCAACGUGUGAAGCAUCGCAAUACACCGUAUACAUCCCUGAAUCAGAGGUAAAAAAUAACACUAGUGUUAUAGUUAAUGCAGUCUUGAGAUUCUGAAAGCUCACAUCGCAAUCAUCGGACCAUAUGAACUGAGCACCCUUCUAGGUUAAUCUAGUAAGAGGAUCUCCAAUAGAUGAGAAACCCUCUACAAAUCGACGAUAAUAACCUACUGGCCUUAGAAAACUCCUAAUCGCAGUCGCUAUGGUGGGACGGGGCCAACUGUUAACUGCCUCGAUCUUCCUGGGAUCCACCUUAAUACCCUCGCUGGAUAAAAUAUGCCCCAAGAAAGCCACAUAAUCUAACAAGAACUCGCACUUGGACAACUUAACAUAUAGAUUUUGUGCCCGCAAUGUUUGAAGCACUAUCCUCAAAUGAUGCUCGUGCUUCUCCAUACUACACGAGUAUAUAAAUAUGUAAUCAAUGAAGACAAUGACAAAUGAAUCAAGAUAUGUCCUGAACACCCGAUUCAUCAAAUCCAUAAACACUCCCGGGGUAUUAGUCAAGCCGAAUGACAUCACUAGAAACUCUUAGUGCCCAUAUCUAGUCCAAAAAGCCGUCUUUAGAAUAUCCGAAGCAAGAAUCUUCAGAUGGUGAUACCCAGAUCUCAAGUCUAUCUUCGAGAACACUUUAGCACCCUAUAGCUGAUCAAACAAAUCAUCAAUACGCGACAACAUGUACUUAUUAUUGAUGGUGACUUUGUCCAGCUAGCGGUAAUCAAUGCACAUCUGCAUACUCCCAUCCUUCUUCUUCACAUAUAAUACUGGUGCACCCCAAGGAGAUACACUCGACCUGAUGAACCCCUUCUCAAGCAACUCCUUAAGCUGAUCCUUCAACUCUCUCAACUCCAUGAGAGCCAUAUGAUAAGACAAAAUAGAGAUAGGUUGGGUGCCUGGUGCCAAAUCAACUCUUAAAUCGAUAUCACGAUCCGGUGGCAUUCCUGGUAGAUCAGAAGGAAAUACAUCGGAGAACUCUCGGGCACUGAAUCAUUCGUGGGUGUCUCCAUAACAGUAUCCCGAACAUAAGCCAGAUAGGCCAAACAACCCUUCUCGACCUUAUGUCGAGUCUUCAAGAAAGAGAUAACCUGACUAAAUGUAUUGAUAGAUGAGCCCCUACACUCCAGUCUAGGAAACUCUAGCAUUGCCAAGGUAAAAAUCUUGGCAUUAAAAUCAAGAAUGUCAUGGUACAGAGACAACCAACUUAUGCCGCUUUAGCCUCAAAGUCGGUCAUAUCAAGAAACAGAAGAUCUGCUCUGGUCUCAUGAUCGAAGAAUGUCACUACAAAAAAUCGGUAAACCCGAUCCAAGGACUCACGAGAUACAUCUAGAUAAGGAGAAGAUAAAGAAGAUACAUAUGAAUAAGUAGACCCUGGAUCGAAUAUUAUUGAAACAUCCUUAUUGCAGACAAAUAUAAUAGCUGUGAUCACGACGUCUGAGGCUACUGCAUCUGGUAUGGUUGGGAAGGCAUAAAAUCUAGCCGGAGCACCACUUGUCUGGACUCCACCUCUAGGGCGAUCCCUACCCACCUAUCCUUCACCUCUGGCCGGCUGGACGGGCAGUGCGGCAACUGGUACGACAAUUUUGGACUGAUUGCCCUGUUGUACUUCCUUGACUUGAAGCCUGGGGCAAAACCUCCUCAUGUGACCAAGAUCACCGAACUUGUAGCAACCUCUCGGUGUAGAAGACUGCUGACCUUGGGUCUGACCCUGGUAACCUGAAUACCACUGGAGGAACGCUGAAUAGCCAGUGGACGGUAGGUGCUAUCUGGAAUAGCCCUGAAGUAGGGCCACGCUGGAGCACCCCGAGCAAGUGGUGGUGCUGAAUACAUUGGCCUGCUAGACUGGCCCCUCAUGAACUGACCUCUGUCCCCAAACGGGGAGCCACUGAAUCCUCCAGAAUGUCGAGGCCGCUUAUCCCCCGUUGUAUAUGAUCCAUGUCCAAUCCACACUCAAUAGUGGGUGGAAACGGUCGUUGAUAUUAUAGUACCCAACAAGAGUUAGGGUCGAAUUCCACAGGGAGUUUGUGAAGGGUAUUAGGGUGGAUACUUGAUGAGAGCACGUGAAACAACUUAAUUGCACCUCCAAACAAAAGGUGGUUGUUUUCCAAAUUAACAUUAACAAAUUUAAACUAAUUAGAAGAAACUUAGAAAGAGAAUAAUUGUUUUUGAUAUUUUUAAUCAAAUGGGAAAAAGCCUAGAUGCAGCCUUCACCUAGGUGCAAACCUAAUGGGUAAAUUACGUUAAUACUUGUUUUGUAGAUCAUGGUGUGUUAUAACUCUCAGUUGUCAAGUACCCACUCAAUACCUCUUGGUUAUAGAGUGGUUAUGCCCAAAUUAGUUUUCUCAAGCCCAAUUGGGUAACAAUUCAAACAAUUGAUAUGAGCUCAAGUCGGGUUUUUCCUAUCUCUAGUUCAAACCCUUUAAUUAGACUAGCCAAAACCUUAUGUAGCCCAAUUUUUUGUUAGCCAAGUUUUCCUAGACUAAGUCCCUCUUUCUCAAGCAAGAACUAAGUCAAAUAGGCAUGAAUAAAUAUUUGCAACAAUUAAUUCUAGAAAUAAUGCAUAAACAAGGCUAAAUAAUAAAUACCUAAUCAUAAACAAGCAUUAAAAUUAAUAACCCAUAAGGUUUACACACUAGGGAUGUGUCACAACCUAGAUAGAAUCUAGCUACUAAUGCUAGAAGGUAAAGAAAACAAAGAAGAAGAAGAAAUCAAAGCCAUAAAUGAUAAUUAAAUGAUAAAACUAAUGGGGUUUUCAUUAAUAAUUGUCACUAAUUUUUCAAAAUAUAAAAAUAUAACCGCUACAGCUGAUUAUAAUACAAAACUUGCCCUAAAAACGUGUUUCUCGUCUAUUUAUAGUGCCCUAAAAUUCGCUGACAAAAAUUCCCUUCGGGAGGUUCUGCGGCCUCACAAUUCCAUGUGUGGUCCGCACUUUUCUUCUCUUCUUUAGUUGGGAGGAAUUCUGUGACUGCACUUUAACUUCUGCGGCUGCACUUUUCCAUCUACGUCUGCACUUUGGCAAGGCUUCACACUUGGUCUUUUUGCAUCUUCUCCAAACUUUUCCAAUCUUGUCAGUGCGACCAGCUUUUACGGUCACAUAAUUUGGUGUGCGGAUCACACUUAUUAAAACUACUCUGAGGCUUCAGGCGUCUUGUCCGCGGUCGCAGGCAUAUUUCUGCGGAUCGCAAUUUCUUCUGCGUCCGUAAAAUUACUUCUACUGACCGCACUUUGGCAUGCUUUACUCCUUUUUGCCUUUUUGAGCUGCAAUACUCCUUUUUGAGUUAUUCUUCGUUAAGGUACAAUCCUCUAAUAUGACUGCAAUUUACACACUUUCAUUAGUUUUGGAAACAAAAAUCAAUAUUUUCGGACUAAAACUAAAGCAAGAAGGUACUAAUAAGUGGUUAAAAUCCACACUUAUCAACUCCCCCAAACUUAUGUCUUUGCUUGUCCUCAAGCAAAUAGAUUAGUUUCUACCUCCUCAAAGUGAAAGGUCAUUUUAAAGAGUCAAUUAUAAACCAUUCAUACUCAGUUGGGACCAACAGUUGCCCGUAAUACUCAUGCAUUUUCAACAAGGUUACAAAACACGUGUUACGUGCAUAUAACUCUAGUGUGACAUUUGAGUUUCAAGAAUUGUCUUCACUCAUCAAGGACUCUUAUUCUAUCAUGUAGAUCAUGGUGGACUCCAAACUUUUCCUGCUUUACCGUCCAUUUUCCAUGUUUACUUCAAGAAUUAACACUCACUUUCUAGAGUAAUGAAGGGUUCACUCUUCUCUCACAAAGGAAUGUCACAAGUAAGACUUCAAGUACCAUAGGCAUUCCCCUCAUAUAGAUCACUACUAAUGUAAGAUCACUCGGUUCAAAAUCAAGUAGGACUUCUUUCGGGUUGUAAUGAAGGAUUUUGGAUUGGGGUAGGAUACCAUAUGGGAUAGGUGGUUACACCCUUCCUUAAGCACUCCACUUUUCAAUUUCUUGGCUCACAUUUACCAACCCUUAGAGGCAUUUCCUUUCCUUGAGGGCUAGAGAGACUUGAAAUCACUCUUUAUUGUUCAUUUCAUUAUUUUUCUCCCUUGAUGUUCAUACUAGAGAUAGUUGGCUCUUUUUGAUUUCAUCAACCUUCCUUUUUAUUCUCCUUUUGGCAUUUUUCUUUCUGUUCUUUUCUUUUCUUUUCUUGCCUUUUCAUUUCAUAGAGAUCAUUUCUUCUCUCUUUUUGGUGCCUUGAUACCUCUUUUAGAUUCCUUAACUUUUCCCCCCAAACUUACACCUUAAGCUACUUAUUUCAUAAGAGUGUUAAGGAAGUUCCGGGUUCGAGAGGAUAAUAGACAAAACGGGUAAAGGCUUAUAGCAUGAUUACCAAUAGAGAAAGGCUUAAUGAUCAAAGGGGUUGACUAGGGAUACAAGCAUUAGGUGGCAAUAUAAAGCUCAAACGGACCAAGGAAAGCCUACAAUCAUCUUCCAAACCAAGCAAACCUAGAAUUUCGCAUGAACACAUUCAGGGCAAGUUCUAGACAAUCCACUCAAAUACUUGGACUAGCAACAAAAAUCACCUCACUUCUUAUGCAACUAGACCGUAAAAGAGGAUAGAGUCUAAAUCCUACAACGAUCGCAAUCAAGUUAAAGAUCACUAUGAUCCAAUCAACAACUCAAUGAUUAUCAAAGUCAACUCAAGAACCUCAAAGUCACUAACUAGAACUAUUUUCUUCCAAAAACCUUAUUUCAAAUCAUAAGCACACAGUUAAGUGUGUUGGUGCCAAAUGAAGCAUGAAUAACUCUUUUUAGAGAACGACUUGAUUAAGGCCUUUAUUCAUUACUACUACUAUUAUCAUUACCUAAACACAAAAUAAACUCAUUCCCUUAAGAAAGUUGUCACACUAUCCAUCUUCGAGAAGAGUCAUCCGGUUCACACUAAAGACCACCUUUGGAAAGAACUGUGGUAUUAAGAAAAACAAAGGCUUAUUAUCACACUACUAAGAAAAAACAUAAAAUCUACAAACAUAAAAAUAAACUACUACAUAAACAAAGCCAAAGUAAACAAAUAAGGAAACAAAUGAAAGCAACAACUACUAAAGAUAGAUAAAAUGAAAAGAAAAUAGAAUCAUCCAAUUAUUACAUUUAAAAUGUAUCCAAAUGUAUCCAAUGUAUCAUCAAAUAAGCCCCCCCUCCAAAUAAAAGUAAGGAUUAUCCCUAAUGCUUAACAAAAGAAGAGCAAAAUGAGAGAGGGCGAAGAAACUCCCUAAGUGUCCCCGGCCAUCUCUAUGUCCCCAACAACAUUAGUCCCAGUUGGCUCAGCCAACUAAAUAUCAUCAUCAAAUCUAGGAGUGGCUGGGGAAGUGAACAUCAAACGCACUGCAUCAACAGUAUCAACGGUAAGGCUUGGUUCCUCAGACUGGCCAGCGGGAGCAUCCUGUGUAGAUGUAUCAGGGUAGGGCUGGUCUGGGUCAAUCAACAUGUCAAACGAUAAAUCCCCAGCUGUAGCUAGUCAUGUCACCUCAAUCUUAAGCUUAUCCACCGACUUCUUGCCGGCUUAGGACUUCCUCAUAUUCUUCACCUGUUUGGUUAACCCCUUGAUCACAACACUAUACUGUACAAAGGUAUCCAUAAUCACAUUCUAGUUGUUCAAGAUCUUGCUCAACUUCUCAUCAAUGUCAGCGAGGUCCCGGGGUGCUUGUGUAGAUGCCUGCCCUGCAACUACACUAGAGAUCUCAGACAUAUUUGAAGUAGCUGCCUGUAUCUAUUUUUUGAGACUUGCCAAUGUCUAGGAGAUUUGUAGAGCAGAAAGUGGGCCUGUAGGCAUGGGAACCGUCCUCGAAACUGGAGUAGGAACUGCCCUAGGUGCCGUGGAAGGAACUGUAGAGGGAGCUAAAGAUUGUGGCUCAAGCAUAGCAGCUGCUGCACUGGUAGAAGGCUCAACUGAUGUGGAUGGAAUAUCAGGUGUAUCAGAAACUACCAUUACUGGCUCAUCAGACUGGCCAGCAGUAAUAGAAGGCUGAGAACUCUUCUUUGUGUUCCUCGGAUCCUGCAACAUGUGCCACUCAAACGACCCUGUUAUCCUUACCUUUGUGUCAAAAUCCCUGGGCUCUACCUUCACAUUAGUCAGAUACUCAAUAAUGGUGCUAGGGUAUGGGUAAGAAGUGUUGCUCUGCUGUGCCACCAAAUAAAUGUUAGCCGACAUUAGGGCACCCACAUUGAUCGAGUACCCGGCCAUGAUAGAAGCCACCAGAAUAGAUCUAGGAAUGGACAAGUUAUUCUCAUUCGAAAAUGGGUCUAGCCUGCUGUAGAAAAAGGUUUGCCACCCUUGGACUCGAAACUCAAAGUGCUACAGAGGAUAGGUACCCCAACAACAAUCCAAGGGGGAGUGGUACCCCGUUGCAGAAUCUCCACAAGCCACAGUCUAGUUUCUUCCUUCAAGGCACACUUCUCUAAAUAUUAUUUCAGCUCCAUAUCCUCAAAUCCCAAGUACGCGUUCAGAGUGUGCUGAUCAAAUUUCAUUUCACGUUGCGCACUUUGGUAACCUUUGUGCCCUUGCGAAUAUGUGCAAUGUUCGCAUAAAACUCUCGGACAAGGUGUUGCUUGACAUCCACUAACUUCUCUGUAAAUCGCAUCCUCCCCUUCUCUUCGUGAACUAAUAUAGAACUGCGGGAUUAUAUUUGUCAAGAUCUUUCAAUAAAUAUUGCCGCGCAUGAGUCAAAGAUCACUUAGGCCACCACAUCCGGAAAUCACAGAAAGUGUGGCGGCUCACAAAUCUAUCCUCCCAAGCCUCUUUCUUCUUUGUUCUUGCUGAAUCUCCCUGUGUACCUUCUCCCCCUCUCCCAUCAUUAUGAGAGUCAUCAGAACCAAACCCUGCAACAACUGUUGACAGUCAAUUUUGACCUUCCGUAUUUAAAAAAUUAACUUCUGUAGGCUUCCUAGUCAAAAAUGAUAAAAAUGUAGUUUUUGCACAUUAUUUAGCUUUAAUAUAAUUUAUUGAUAAUUAUUCCUAUUUUAACAAAAUAUGAGAAUUCUUAUCAUUUUAUUGCAAUUAGUUAAAUACUAACUUUUUUGUGAAGUUUUAUAAAUUUCAAACAAUUCAUUGAUAAUUUUCCUAUUUUUCAAACAUUAGGAUAUUCUGUCAAUUUAUUGUCUUUUCAAAAAAUAAAAUAAUAAUUACUACAUAUUAUUGUAGUAUUUGGCAUUUUAAUAAAUAUUAUGAGUCAUAUUUUUAAAUUAAAUAAUUAUCCUUCAAUGAACCACAGUCUACUAAUCACAUGGAAGCCGGUAGAAUUUAUUUUUAAAAUACGGAUCAAGUCUUGUCAAAUUCGAUGUCCUAUCAACGCCCGAUAUGACGACACAUUUGAUAUGACAUUUGAUGUGACUAAACAUGCGAUGACAAAAUCAUAUUGACGUGACAAGACAUUUGACGUGACUCAACAAUUGACGCAACGUGACAUUCUUUAAUUUUGAACCACAUCUUUUAUUUUUGCAUUGUCUUUUAUUUUUAAAAUAAUAUAAACCACAUAUCUUGCACAUCCUCACACAAAAAUAUCUACAUAUUACACUCAACACACACUAACCCAUCAGAUUUUGGGGCAUAAGGAACCCUAAUAUUAUAAUCCCUCUCUCACUUUUAGAAGUCCCAACCGCAACACCCCACAACUCUCCCAUUUCCUCUCAACUUUGGAGAGACCAAAGCAUGCCGCCUCUCUCAUGGCUGCUCAUCCCCUUUGUCUCUACUGCUUCUCCAACCAUCAGUCGCCGCUGCUGGAGGUGGUGACCAACUAGGCAGCGAUCUCCCCCUUUCCCCCGACAUCUCCUCAUUGCUAAUAGUGGACGGAAAAAUGGAAGGAGCGAUAUAGAUCUGACCGGAUCUAUGUUUUCUGGUCGCCAGUGAUAGCCGUGGCCACUACUAUUAUCUUCUUUAUCUCUAGUUUGCUUUAUAUUUUGGUUCACAGACAUGGCCCAGAUCUGGCCGGAAGUCUCAUUGCCCGACGAGCCCCCAUUUCGGCUGUCAUUGUUUUGGCUGCGAUUUAUCUUUUUCGUCGGACUUUUGUGCCUUAUAUUUUGUCACUAUAUUUAUUUACUGUUGUUUUGACCGGUUAAGGUGGUUUCAAUUCUUGUCUAUUUUGGUUUGUUGGAAGAUUUUUACGGCAACCCCCAUAUUGUUAGUAUGAGCCUUGAUAAUGUUCUUUUGCUGUUGGAACUUUAUUUCACUGAUGUUGUAGGUUUUCCGUCGUUUGAACAUACUAUUGGGAUUGCUUCUAUUGGAUUCUGUUGAAUUGUGGGUUUGCUUUGCUCUUGUCUUAGAUGUUGGCGUUCUGCUGCUAUUGGAAUUGAUUUUCCGAAAACCAACAUUGCUAGCCUCUGUUUCACAGUUUGUGUUACUUGCGCUUCACUUAUGAGAUUGGACAUACUAAUUUUGAACAGUUGCUACACUUGGCCGAUGAGAAUAAAUUUUUUCAGACCUCGUGAUGAUUUUGAUUGAUAAAGGACAAGAUACUACACCGUCCCUCGGAUUCGGAACAUAAAUACAUUUAUAAGGCGAUGACGAAAGCCAAAGAAAAAAUAAAAGAUGAGAAUGUGAAUGUCCUUGCUUCAGGAGGCAACAUGGUUGGCCUCCGGAGUUGCUACCAAGUCGGCGUUCACGUUCUAAUAUUUUAUUGCUAUAUGGAAUACACCAUCCGAGCCUCCAAAAACAUUUUCUAAAUCAUUUUUAAAAGAGUAUUUUUCUAUAUUAUCUUUUAAACUAUUUUCCAAAACUACUUCUUAAAAAUAAUUUCCCAAAAACAUUUUUCAAACUAUUUCUAAAAUCAAUUUUCCAAAACAUUUUUCAACUAUUUUCAAAAUAAUUUUCCAAAUUAUUUUUUAGUAAGAUCAUUUAAAAAAAAAUUAGUUUAAUAUUUACUUUAUAUUUUACUAAUAAUUUUAAUUCUCUUGUCUUGCGAGGUACUAUCACAUAGAGUUACUUUCGGAACACGACACUCGAAGAUUGAGAGACAAAUCCCCGUCAAGUUCCCUACUUCGCACUUCCUAUUCUAGGAUGUAUCCAAAAUCGUAAGUAUAGUAUAAACAUAAAUAUAUGUGUUGCCUGCUUGCUUUGAUAUUAGUCUGUUUGCUAAACACUUAGGACACAAUACAUCUAUUUAAAAUUAACACUCAACACGUAUGUCAAAUAAACAUGUAGCUUGCAUCUUUAAUUAGAUUAUCAGAUACAUUUUUGCAACUUGAUUAAUUGACUAGGAUUGAUAUGAACCUAAUUAUUUAAACUAGUUUUUCACUACAUAAGCAUGUCAUUCAUUUUUCUAACAAGAUAAUUGUAUAUUUCUUUUACAUGUGAGCUAUCAUGUUUGGUUAUACUUUUAGGUCACUCAAUUUGUAAAUUACUUACUUCACUCUAAGUAAAUACAUGUUUGGUACAAAUCCAUGUUCGCAGUUGUCCUUAACUCAUGCUCGAAUCUAGGUAAAUCUACUCUUAGAAUUCCUAGGUAACUGUAUAUAUGAUCUUGCAACUUGCUUUAGAUGGAUUAAUUGUUACAUAUCUUUUGUUUGCUACGUAUUCUUUGUCUGAUGUACAUUCUUUAUCUGUUACGCAUCCUUCAUCUGCUACAUAUGUCCUCUACUUGUUAUCCACAACUAGGUUCUCUUUGUCUGGAUAAACUAUGGUUAACUUGUGUUGAACCCUGACCUUUCAAAUACACAUGCCCAUUUCGGUCUUCAUAACUAUCCCCAUAAUCAUACUAUCAUUUGGACUCUAUCAUCCUUUCAAAGAUAUGUCAAUCCAGCUUGGUGCAUCUUUCACUGAUUUGACGUAUUCCUCUCAAUCAUACCUUACACUGGCUUCCAUCAUUUAAGACUGAUCCAUGCACUAUACUACCAUCUAUAUCUUAUUCGAGAGUUACCAGUCUCCACCCAACCACCCAAGAAUUCUCAUUCAUAAUCACAUUCCUUCUCAAGAAAAAAUCACUCAUUCAUGAUAGCCAUAUAGAUCUCAUAAUUCCAGUAGUUGGCCCGAACUACGUUUUGACCUGAUUCUUGCCUUGGCAAGAUACGUAGGCAACCCUACAUACGGGUUCGGUCUCACCAAAAAUCCAAACAUCAAAACCCCAUGCCAGAUUUACUCUGACCCUCACUCUACUUAAAUCCUAACAUAUGGGAUGCAAGUCCUUUGUUCAAAUAUCUAGCUAUGUAGUCAUGAUGUUCACUCCCACUUUUCAAAUUCAAAGAUUCAAUACAAGUCAACCCAUUUUGUUACAGGGACAAGUUGUUAGUCAGCCUUGGAGGAAUGCCAUGCUCACACGACUCUUAUAAAUAAAGAAGAACAAGUGAAGUCUCAAGACAGCACGAAUCAAUUUUCCUCCCUCGAACUAAGAAUUUUUCUUUGGACGUAGGAGGGACAACACAAUUUUCGGAACAAUCAUGGAAUGCCGACAUUACAUUUUCGAUCAUAAUCGGAUACACCCCUGGCUGUACGGCCUAACUAUGCACCCUCUUAAUUUUAUAAUUCACCCAAAAGGUAUUCUAAUAUUUUCUCCUCUAAGUGUUACAAGUACAUCAUCCCGGGCACUUCACGAGAGAUAAAAUCUGGCCUCGGACUUGGUAGAGCAUCAGUCAGAUAAUCAGGGGAGUAGUAGUUUUAUAAUGAAUUCCAUAAUUUUCAUGACUUCGCUGCUCUUACUACCUUUCUAUAUUUAGAUCAGAACAACUUUCCCGGUUGUCAACCGGGGACGAUCAUCAAAUGGUUCUUGUGGACCGCCGAAGGUGCAUCAUCCUGAGACUGCAAGGGAAAUAGCAUCCGACGCCGGACAUUGCGAAAUAUCAACUGAGCAAACAUGGGAGUGUUAGUUACAAUUCAUGAUUUCAUCAUUUUAUGACAGCACUACCCUUACUACAUUUCUAUAUCUGCAUCAGAUAAUCGUCCCAACUAUUAGCCGGGGAUGAUCACAAAAAGGUUCCUUUGGAUAGCUGGAAGGUCACAACGAAAUAUCCCUUCAGUCAAUUGGUAGACAACCACAACAACUGUCUUUCAAACAGUCAGGGGGCAUCGAAGCAACUGUUCAAGGAGCAACUGGGGCAAAGCUUCUUGAUGGAGUCACUCUUCAACUCCAGAGAUACCACACCCAAUCAUGGGUAUAACAAGGCAUCUCUCCGAGUUUGUCUAAACCCUUGAAUUUUAUACAUAUCUUUGAUGCGAUUAAUGUAGUUAGUUGCAAUCCUUCAAAAAUAGGAGAGUAAAAGAGGUGUUUAAACCCAUACAUCUCAUACUCUCCAAUUUUCACGAACUACGCGUACCUAAUUCUUAACCUUGUAUCAAGAUACAUAGGCAACCCAUCAUGGGUAUGGUGUUUCUCGUGCUUAGUUGGACGAGUCGGUCAAGUGUGGCCACUUGGAUCGCAGUUGACCGAAGAUCCUUGUGAAAGGGUCAUCUCUGAAAAAAUGUAAAAAAAAUGUAUAUAUCUUUCCCCUAUUGCUUUGAACUCUGUAGACAUCAAGGGAAAAUCAAAAUCCAAAAACAUAUUCCUGCAUAAUUCCUCCUUGAGGAAAUUCAAAAAAUUUCAAAUUAUCCUCUAUCCCUAAUCUUCACUAACUAUGCGUGCCUGAUUAUUGACCUCGUAUCAAGAUACGUAGGUAACCUAUCAUAGGUCCGGUUUUUCUCAUCCUUAACUGGACGAAUUGGUCAAGUAUGGCCGCUUGGGUCAUAUUUGACCGAAAGUCCUUACGAAAGGAUCAUCCCGAACAAAAAAUCAAAAAUUAAACAUAUAUAUACCUUCCUCUAUUUCUUCUCCAGAAGUCUCUUCGUGAGACAUCAAAAUUAAAAUCCAAAAAAUAUCAUCAUCUUUUCUUGAGGAAAUUCUAAAUCCAAAAUAUCUCUCCUUUAUCUCUGAUCUUCCCGAACUGCGCCCGAACUAAUUCUCAUUUUGACGAGAUACAUAGGCAACCUGCGGGUUUGGUCACAAUUUUAAAAAAAUAAAAUAAACAACAAUCAAUCAAGGACCUUUCCCGGGUUCGAUCAUAUAUUUCAAAAAUAAAAAAAAAUCAUCAAUCAAGGACCCUCCCCUGGUUCGAUCUCAUCUUUUAAAAACUAAAAAAAUACUCUUAUCGUCCGAAGAUUUUCAAUUCCUGUAUCUCCCAUCGCGUGGAGGUUUUAUAUUUUUAGUCACUCCCAUUGUGCAAAGAUUUCACUUUCCUGUCAGCACUCCUAAAUGAAAUGGUACCCAACCCUGUACUAACAAUGCUCAUAUAUGGAACGGUACACAACCCAUCAUUUUACUUUCCUGUCAGCACUCCUAAAUGGAAUGGUACCCAUCCCCACACUAACAAUGCUCCUAUACGGAAUGGUACAUAACUUGUCAUUUUACUUUUCAUGUCAGUGCUCCUAAACGGAUUGGUACCCAGUCCCUUACUAACAAUGAUCCUAUACGGAACGGUACACAUUCCGUCAUUUUACUUUCCUGUUAGUGCUCCUAAAUAGAAUGGUACCCAGCCCCGUACUAACAAUGCUCCUAUACGGAAUGGUACACUGCCCGUUAUUUUGCUUUCAUGUGAGCACUCCUAAAUAGAACAAUACCCAACCCCGUACAAUAAUGAUUCUAUACAGAACGGUACAUAGUCCGCUAUUUUAAUUUCAUGUCAGCGCUCCUAAACGGAACGAUACCGAGCCCCGUACUAACAAUGCUUCUAUAUAGAACGGUACACAAACCGUCAUUUACUUUCCUAUCAGCACUCCUAAACGGAAUGGUACCCAGCCCCGUACUAACAAUGCUCAUAUAGGAACGGUACACAACCCAUCAUUUUACUUUCAUGUCAGUGCUCCUAAACGGAACGGUACCCAGCCCCGUACUAACAAUCCUCCUAUAUGAAACGGUACACAGCCUGUCAUUUUACUUUCCUGUCAGCGCUCCUAAAUGGAAUGGUACCCAGCCCGUACUAACAAUGCUCAUAUAUGAAACAAUACACAUUCCUUCAUUUUACUUUUCUGUCAGUGCUCCUAAAUGGAAUGGUACCCAUCCCCAUACUAACAAUGCUCCUAUGCGAAAUGGUACACAACCCGUCCUUUUACUUUCCUGUCUAUGCUCCUAUAUGGAACGGUAACUACAAAGCUCGUCUAAUAUUAAAUGCUCCGAUAGCGCUUCAGAGCGGUAACCACAAAGCCCGUUUUACAUUGAAUUCUCUUUAUCAAAAACCAUAAAAAUAGAUUAAGUCAAAAUAAAAAAAAAACGAAAUAAAAAUCUAAAAAAUAUUUUCUUUCCACCCUUCCUGAACUACGCUCGACCUGAUUCUCAUUUUAACGGAAUACGUAGGCGACCUUCGGGUUCUGUGAUGACCCAAUAGGUCAUUUAUAAUUUUACCCUUCAUUUUUGUGUUAUGAGACUUCGAAUAGCUCCAUUUAACCUUUCUCAAUUUACGUGCACAGUUCGUGUCCUUUUUUCAGAAGGUUUUUAUGAGGAAAUUGAUGAAAAUAUGAAAUCGUGCCUUAAAACUCAUUUGACUUGACUACGGUCAAUAUUUUGCGAAACGGAUCAGGACUAGUGUUUUGAUCAUCUCGAUGGGUCCGUAUCUUGAUUUAGGACUUGGGCAUAUGCCUAGAAUCGAAUUCAGAAGUCAACUUGAAUUAAUGCAAUUUGUUGAAAACUAGCAAUAUAAAAGUUUAAAAAAUUUCUAAGUUUGACUGUAUGUUGACUUUGUUGCUACCCAUUUCGGAUUUCUGUUUCGAAAUAUGGUAUAAGUUCAUUACAGUAUUUAUGACUUGUGUGCAAAAUUUGGUGGGAAACAUAGUUGAUUUGACGUGAUUCAGACGUCCGAUUGAAAAAUUGCAUGUUCUUAAGUUUCAUUCAUUUUGGUGUCCGAUUCUUAGUUCUAGGUGUUAUUUUGGUGUUUUGAUCAUGCAAGCGAGUACGUAUGAUAUUAUUACACUUGUGUGCAUGUUUGGUUUGGAGUCCGAGGGCUCGGGUGAGUUUCAAAUAUGCUACAAAGUGAUUUUGGACUUAGAGGAAUAACUGAUGCCUUUAUGUUGCUGGUGCUCUGCUGUAGAUCUCGCAUUUGCGAGCCUCUCUUUUGAUAACAAGGCUUCGCAUUUGCGAGCAUGGGCUGGAUUGGGGGAGUCUCGCAUUUGCGAGGUAAAUGUUCGCAUUUGUGAACUUGCAGCUGCCGCUUUUGCGAAGGCAGAGUCGCAUUUGCGACUCGGUGUAUCCUGGGCUACCUUCGCAUAUGCGAAGGUAUGGUCCGCAUUUGCGAUGUUCGCAAUUACGAACAAGGUAUCGCAAUUGCGAAAUUCGUAAUUGGUAGAAGAGGGGGGAAACGGGAUUUAGCUUUUUUCUUUCAAACUCUCAACCCUAAACUCCCGAGAGGCGAUUUUUCCAAGAGAUUUCCUUCCUAAAUUCAUUGGUAAGUGACUUUAAUAUAAUUCUUUUCAAUUACCCAUUACAUUUAAUAAGGUUUCAACAUCAAAUCAAGGAUUUUCAUAGUAGAAAUUAGGAAUUUGGGUAGAUUAGGGAAUUUUGUAAAUUUGGAAUUUAGACCUCGAAUUGAGGUCGGAUUUUGAAACUAAUUACAUAAUCGGGCUCGAAGGUGAAUGGGUAAUUGGGUUUUUGUCUGAAUCUCGGAUUUUGACCAAGCGAGCCCGAGGUUGACUUUUUGGAAAAAGUGUAAAGAUCUUAACUUUAUGUAUUAUGAUUGAUUUACCUAGCAUUGUUUGAUGUUGUCAAGUCAAUUUUGGUUAGAUUCGGUUAGUGGAGGCGGAUUUAAGAGGAAAGGCCCCAAUUGAGAUUUGAUUUGCUUGCGGAGCGAGGUAAGCGUUGGGUCUAACCUUGAUUUGAGGGAAUAGGAACCCUUGAGCUAUGUUUUAUGUGAAUUACAUGUGCAACGACGUAUAUGCGAGGUGACGAGUGUGUAUACGUCGUCAAAGUAAUUGUUUCCAUGCUUUCCCGUAUUACAUUAAUUAUUUUAUUUCAUGUCUUAAUUGUUACAUAAUUUAAUUUCCUCCUAUGCUUUAACUUGCUACUUGUCAUUUAUUAUUCUCAUACUAAAAUGUUAGUUUCUUCCAUGCUUUCAUGAUUAAUUGUUACUUGCCUUAAUUGUGUUACUUGUACACUUUAACUGUCAUAUAUUUGGCUUGUCUUGUUGCUUAGUAUUAAUUGUCGCAUUUCUUAAUUUGGUACGAGAUUCCUUUAUGGUUUUAUAUUCAUAUUCGUUUAUCGUAGAGAUUCUUGUGAUUUGAGUUGCUGAGUUGAUUACAUUUAUUGAUUUUUAUUUAUGGAUCGGGUUACAUGCCAUAACAGGUGGAAUAAGGGAGAAUUGAUAUUGAUAUGGUGGGAUCGGGUUGCACGCCGCAAUGAAUUUUAUAUGUGAUUUUGAUAUGGUGAAAUAAGGGAGGAAUAUGAUAUUGAUUUUGAUUAUAUUGUGGGAUCGGGUUGCGCACCACAACAGAUUUUACGUAUUAUUAUUGAUCUUGAUAUGGUAAAAUAAGGGAGGAUUGGGUUUGUAAAAUGGGAUCGGGUUGCACGCCGCAGUGGGGGAAAUAAAGCAGGUUUGUGUUUGUAGGGUGGGAUCGGGUUGCGCGCCACAACAAAUUGUGUAUUUUGUAUUCAUUGUUGUACGAUGUUAGUUUUCGAUGCUUUCAUAGGAGAUUUUGAGUACUGGUUUUUCUGGUUAACCGAUUCCGUGGACUGAGUUUAUUUUCAUAAGUUAACUACCUUACUUUCUUGUAUUUCUUUCAUGUUAUUACUUUUAUACUGUGCACAAGUUAUUGUAAGUGACCCGCAUUAGCUUCGUCACUACUUUGUCGAGGUUAGGCUCGGUACUUACAGAGUAUAUGGGGUCGGUUGUACUCAUACUACAUUUUACACUUCUUGUGCAGAUUUUGGAGUCAGUCCUAGUGGUGGUCAGUAAAUUGCUUGGAUUGAUUGAUAGAUUGGAGACUUGAGGUACAACUGCUCGGCGUUCGCAAUCCUGAAGUACCCUUCUACCCUAUCCUAGCUGUUUAUUUUAUUUCAAACAGUUUUACUUUUAUUCAGACCAUUAUCUGUAUUAUUCUAGUCGGCCGUGCACUUGUGACACCAGUUUUGGGAUUGUAUCUAGAUAUUGCGGUUAUUAUGAUUUUUCAUACUCUAUUUCAGUUAUUACAAUUUAAUUGGUAUCAGUUAAUUUAUUUUGUUAAAAAUAGCUAAAAACUAUUCUAACGUUGGCUUACCUAGCAAGUAAAAUAUUAGGCGUCAUCAUGGUCCCGAGGGUGAGAAUUCUGGGUCGUGACAUGUUCGAUCUCUUUUUUUUAAAAAAUCACAAAAAAAAUAAAUUAUUUUGAUUAAGUAAAAAAAAAAAAGAGAAAUAACAAAACAAAAAAAUUAUUGUUAAGUUAAAAUCCAAAAAAUCAAAAACAAAAAGGGAAUUCUUCCUCGGGUUUGGUCCCAUUUAUCAAAAAAAAAAAGGGGGAAACUUUUCUUUGACUCUAGUCCCAUUUAUCAAAAAUCAUAAGAAAAGAAGAAGAAGAAAAAUUAUCAAAUAUUGACUUGCUUUCUACCAACAUAGUUAGGAGUGUGCAUGGGAAAGAACAAAUGUUUAAGUGGUAAAUUAUAGACUCUUAUGGUACCUCUCAAUUAUACCUUAGUGAUGCUUGAAAAAUCGCGUGCUUAUAGUUAGGGUAAGACCAAAACCGACCUCAUCGUUUCAUGUGCUUUGUGUGGUGAGCCUAGAUUAAAAUUUAUUGCAUUGCAUUGUAGAUCUAGAACAUGGCCCGAGUGUCUAUUGAGGCGAAAUCCUGAGUAAAGCUUGGUUUAGGAAAUGAUUGUAGGCCUUCUUUGAUCCGUUUGAGCCUUUCAAGCUUACCAAAUGACAUCGAUCCCUAGCAUUCCUCCUUUGAGCCUUAAGCCUUUUCUUGGACAACCACAUCUUAUCCUAUACCCUUCUUUGUACUUAAAUGCACAAUUUCUCUCUUGGCCCAACCUCCUCGAGCGCACUGAAAAUGUGUAACUUCGGAUGGACACAAGCAUGAAAAGUCGAAAGAUGAAAAGUCUAAGACAAUCAGAGACAUGACUUCAAAAAAAAAAAACCCAGGAAACUCUGCAAGUUCAAAAGGAGGAUCCAACAAAAUGGAGAAAACUUCCGUAAAUUCGAAGAAAAAAAAAAGAGAAGAAAAAAAGAGAGGAGAAAACUCCACAAACUCAAAGAGGAGGAGCUCCAACGAAAAGAAGGGAAAGCAAGAGAAACUUCAAAAAUAAAAAUAAAUAAAAAACAUCUCUCUGAAAAAGGAAGAAGAAUCUCCAACAUGUUCAAAAGAAGUCAAAGCAAAGAAAAGGACAUCGAGCCGAACAAGAUUAAGCGCCGAAGCAUGGUUUGAACACCGAAAAUACGACACAGUGUAGCGCUCGAGGAGGAUUAGUCACUUUAUCCCAUAAUGAUCAUCCUACCCAUCCCCAAGCCUAUAUUACAAGCCGAUAACAAAGUCCUACAUGAUCUUAUUCCAAGCGUUCUCACAUUAGUGGAUACUCACAUAAAGGUCAAGCAUAUGGUAUCACAAUUGCAUGCAUUAAAUGUCAUUCUGAGUGUGAGUGUGCUUCUCAAAAAUGUCCUAAAAUAAAAAAAAACACUUCAAAUAUGUGUAAAAAUUAGGACAUUCUUUGAGGUGAGGACAUUUGAUACAUGAGUUAGGCAGAAUUCAAAACCUUUGAUUGAAGUAAGACGAACAAAUCUUGUCAAACCUAGGUAUAUCUGAUGUACCACUCGUAGCUACCCAUAAGUUGAUCUCGGUUUGCCGGAAAGUAUGUGGUGAAAAUUCUUAUGCAUAAAAUUAAUUGUUGGUACCAACCAAAGUCGAGUAAAAAAAUAAUGAUCAAUCAAUAAAUCGCAGUCUCUCUUUGCUUUUCAAAUGUUUCAAAUAUUCUCUACAAAAACUACAAAACAACAAAAAAUACAGAAAAAAAAAGAGUCAAGUUUUGUUGACAAAUAGAGUUAGGUUUUAUCGUAGCAGAACUACGCCUGACCUGACUUCCCACGGGGGAUACGUAGGCAACCCAAGUAGGGUCCGGUACCACUCUUGAAAUAGAAAACUAAAAAUUAUUCUAUAUAUUUGGAACUACGCCACGAUUUGAUUUCCUUUGGUAGGAAUAUGUAGACAAUCCAUAUUAGAUUCAGUCAUCUAUUGUAGUCGAACUAUAUUUUGGACUGAUUCCAUUGGGAUACGUAGGCAGUCUUAGUCAGAUCCGGCGAUGUCAUUUCAAAUUAUAUCAUUUUUCAUCCAUUGCGUGCAUAAGUCAUUAAUAACAGAACCUUUUUCAUCAUUUUCCUACAUAGAAAAAAAACAACUUCUUGCUUUUCCAGGCACCCUCUUGAACAAUGGGCACUUCAUUUCAAAGUCAAAUUUUUCAGGCACCCUCCUAAACAAUGGGUAUUUCAUUUCAAGUUCAAAUUUUACAGGCGCCCAUCUUCUAAUACGUGUAUUAUAUAUUUUAAAUGCUCUGAUAUCACUUUGGACUGGUACACAGUCCGAAUUUCCUACAAAAAUCAAAGUGCUCCGAUAUCACUUCGGAUCGGUACUCAGCCAAGAUUUCCUUCAAAUUAAAGUGCUCCGAUAUUACUUCAGACCGGUAUUCAGCCCAGAUUUCCUUCAAAUUAAAGUGCUCCGAUAUCACUUCGGACUGGUACUCAGCCCAUAUUUCCUUAAAGUCAAAGUGCUCCGAUCACUUAGGACCAGUACACAGUACAGAUUUCCUUCAAUAAUCAAAGUGCUCCGAUAUCAUUUCGGACCGGUACUCAGCCCGUAUUUACUUCAAAUUAAAGCGCUCUGAUCACUUUGGACCGGUACACAGUCCGAAUUUUCUUCAAAAAAAAUCCAAAAUGCUCCGAUAUCGCUUCGGACCGGUAUCUAACCAGGAUCUCUUUCGAAUUAGAGUUCCAACUUGGGACCCUAUUUCAUACAAAACAUCACAUAUCCAUCUUCUCAAGCCAAACAUAAGCAUAGUCCACACUUCGUCAACUCUACUGAUCAAAGACGCGAUAUAUCGUGGGAUUAUCUUCUAGCAAAUAAACGGGGGCAGAUUUUGAGGACGAACAUCGAGCAUUUCAAUAGCAAUCGUCGGCACGUUCCUAAGUAUCAUUCAUAUUACGUCCCAUUGACAUGGUGUGUGUAGGUAAUACAAACCCCCUUAGUCAAAUAAAACACCAGCUCUUCACAGCUUGACGCUGGGGAAACUCUCAAAAUAAAAAAUAAAAAAUCCCAUCGUUUUAUCGAACUACAAUCGACCUGAUUCUCGUUACAUCCGGGAUAUGUAGGAAAUCUCAACAAAGAUCCCGACCGUAUCCACAACAAAAUCCAUUCAAUAUAUCCAUCCAUCUAACACCACGUCCUAGUGUUACCACAGUCCGAUCCUGGAGCAAUUUUGGUAGCAUUGUUGAGAUCACACGAACCCUUUAGUCCUUGAACAUUUGUCUUCCACUCCAUGAGGCUACGAUUCAUAAAUAGUACUCAAUCUUCCAUAACUACACGCGACCUGAUUCUCGUGUAACUCAAGAUAUGUAGGCAACUCAGAAUAGAGUUCGGUCACAAUCGUCAAAACAUCCUCAUCCCCCACACCGUCAUGUCGGGUCAAAAUUGAGUAUGGUGUCAAUUUCUUUGCCCGAAGACUCUUACGUCAUCUACGGUUAAAGAGGAGCAACUAUUGACAGUCAAUUUUGACCCUCCGUAUUUAAAAAAUUAACUUCUGUAGGCUUCCUAGUCAAAAAUGAUAAAAAUGUAGUUUUUGCACAUUAUUUAACUUUAAUGCAAUUUAUUGAUAAUUAUUCCUAUUUUUACAAAAUAUGGGAAUUCUUAUCAUUUUAUUGCAAUUAGUUAAAUACUACCAUUUUUGUGCAUUUUUAUAAAUUUCAAACAAUUCAUUGAUAAUUGUCUUAUUUUUCAAACAUUAGGAUAUUCUGUCGAUUUAUUAUCUUUUAAAAAAAUAAAAUAAUAAUUACUAUAUAUUAUUGUAGUUUUUGGCAUUUUAAUAAAUAUUACGAGUCAUAUUUUUAAAUUAAAUAAUCAUCCUUCAAUGAACCACAGUCUACUAAUCACAUGGAAGCCGGUUGAAUUUAUUUUCAAAAUACAGAUCAAGUCCGGUCAGAUUCGAUGUCCCGUCAACGUCCGAUGUGACGACACAUUUGAUAUGACAUUUGAUGUGACUAAACAUGCGAUGUGACAUAAUCAUAUUGACGUGACAAGACAUUUGACGUGACUUAACAAUUGACGCGACAUGACAUUCUUUAAUUUUGAACAACAUCUUUUAUUUUUGCAUUGUCUUUUAUUUUUGAAAUAAUAUAAACCACAUAUCUUGCACACCCUCACACAAAAAUAUCUACAUAUUACACACAACACUCAUUAACCCAUCAGAGUUUGGGCAUAAGGAACCCUAUUAGUAUCCCUCUCUCACUUUUAGAAGUCCCAGCCACAACACCCCACAACUCUCUCAUUUUCUCUCAACUUUGGAGAGACCAAAGCAUGUCGCCUCUCUCAUGGCUUCUCAUCCCCUUCAUCUCUGCCGCUUCGCCGGCCAUAAAUCACCGCCGCUGGAGGUGGUGACCAGAUAGGCGGUGAUCUCCUCUUUCCCCCCUGACAUCUCCUCUUUGCUAAUAGUGGACGAAAAAAUGGAAGGAGCGAUCCAGAUCCGACCGGAUCUGUGUUUUUAGGUCAUGCCGGAUAGCCGUGGCCACUACUAUUAUCUCCUUUCUCUCUAUUUUGCUUUACAUUUUGGUUCAUAAGCAUGGCCCAGAUCUGGCCGGAAGUCUCACUGCCCGGCGAGCCCCAUUCUGUCUGUCACUAUUUUGGAUGUGUUUUAUCUUUUUCGUCGGAUUUUGCGCCUUAUAUUUUUUCAAUGCAUUUAUUUACUAUUGUUUUGACAUAUUAAGGUGGUUUCGAUCCCUGCCUGUUUUGGUUUGUUGGAAGUUUUUUCCGGCAUCCCCCAUGUCAUUAGUAUGAGAUUUGAUAAUGUUCUUUUGCCGUUGGAACCGUAUUUCACUAUGUUGUAGCUUUUCCGUCAUUUGAACACACUAUUGGAAUUGCUUCUAUUAGAUUAUGUUGAGUUGUGGGUUUGCUUUUGUAAUGACCCGUCCGGUCAUUUUGAUAUCUAAAACUUUGUUCCCCUAAAUAAUACUUCUCGUACAUACUUUUACUAUUUUAUAACUUGCGGGGAUGGUUAUUUCGGAAUUUGAAAGAGUUCGGGUUGAAAUCGGAACACUUGGUUCCUUAAGGUUGGCUAAAAAGGCUAAGUUUGACUUCGGUCAAUGUUUUGAGCAAACGACCUCAGAAUCCAGAUUUGACGAUUCCAAUAGGUUCGUAUGAUGAUUUCGGACUUGGGCGUAUAUUCGGAUCAGAUUUUGGAUGACCCGGGAGCGUUUCAGCGCUUAAUAGUGAAAGUUUGUUCUUGGAAGGUUUUGAAGUUAUUUAAACUGGUUUGGAGGAGGGUUUUUGUGAUAUCGAGGUCCAAAUGAGAUUCUGAGACCGAGAAUAGUUCUGUAAUGUCAUUUAAGACUUGCACGCAAAAUUUGGUAUCAUUCCGAGUAGGCUAAGUAUGAUUCGACGCGUUCGGAGUAAUUUGGAAACUUGGAACUCAUAUUUUGAUUCAAUUCAGUUUUGGGGGUGUGAUUCUUGGUUUUGUUGUUGUUUUGCGCAUUUCGAGAGUUCGAGCAAGUCCUUAUUAUGUUUAUAGACUUGUUGGUGUAGUUGGACGGGCCCCCGAGGGGCUCGAGUGUAUUUUGGACUGCCCGAAGUUAAGUUGAAAACACCAAAUUUUAUGUUCUGGUUUCAUUCUUCGUGAAUCCGGACAGAUCCUCGCGUUCGCGGUAAAGGAUUUGGGGACUAGAGGUUUUUUCCCUCUCACAUAUGCAGGGACGCGUUCGCAGAGGCCUGGGACCUUUAGCCUUCACGUUCACAUUGAGCAGGCCGUGUUCGCGCAGAAGCCUGGGCCUGGGCAACCCAAUUGCCUUACGCGUUCGCGUGUUGGGCCCCGCGUUCGCGAGGAGUAGGUGGCCCAGUGCAUCGCGUUCGCAUAGGUCCUCUCGCAUUCACGUAGAGCCUUUUCCUGGGCUCUUCAGUUUAGCCAUGGCGAUCGCGAGAGCUUGGCCGCGAUCGCGUAUAAGGACCCUUGGGCAGAAUCAUCUUUCAAAAAACGGGACUUAGGCUAUUUUUGCUUAUUUUCUUUCAUUGUUGGGCAAUUCUUGGAGCUCUUAGAGAGGGGAUUUCACCUAGUACUUUGAGGUAAGUAAUUUUCACACAAUGUGAGUUUAAUAUAUAGUUCAUGGGUAAAUUAUAACAUGUAAAUUAGUAAAAAUUAUGAGUUUAGGUGAAAACCUAGGUUUUUGACAAAAAUGAGGUUUAACCACGAAAUUUAUUAUGGAAUUUAGUAAAAAUUAUAUAUUUGAGUUCAUGAGGUUAUGAGUAACAAUUUUCUUUGAAAAGUUUCGGAAUCCGGGCACAUGGGCCCAGGGGUGAAUUUUGAAAAUUCUUCAAUUGGGGUUGGGUAAUCGCUUUAAUAGUUAGAAUACGACAUGUAUUGAUUAGUUUAUAUACUAUUUGAUUAGUUUGGGUUGAUUCGGCAUCGAAUUGAGGGUGUGAGCACAUUCUUGGACCGAGAAGUAGGCCUUGAAACGAGGUAAGUCUCUUUUCUAACCUUGUAAGAGGGAAUUAACUCCAUAGGUGAACUUAAUCAUUGUAUACUUCUAUUUGUGGGGGGCUACGUACGUACGAAGUGAAGAGAGUCCGUGCAUAGCUACUAUUCAUGCUUAUGUCCGGGUAGAUUUAGGCUUACACCAUGUUAUUGUUGAUACCGUUGCUUGUUUAUGCUUAUUAAUUGUUUGGAUUAAAGCGGAGGUUGAGGAUUUCAAUACUUUAAAGGUUCCUAGCUGAAUUUCUUAUUUUGAAAAAGAAUUGUGAAAUAUUAUGAUAACUUGAGAAAAUCUAUAUUCAACCGCUUCGCAAGUAUAUUCCGCGAGCGAGGUAAAAUUUUUCCACCUACCUUUCAUGGGGAGCGGGACCGUUCGCCUCGACAGGUUAAUUGAUGUAUCUAUGGUUCAUGCCGUUCGACCCUCGGCAGUGCACAUUGUAUUUAUAUGUAUAUUUGGAUCGGGCCGUACGUCCUCAACAUAAUUCAUGCAUAAAGAUAUUGGAACCCCCUUUAGGAUUGUUUACUUAUUUCAUGCUCUGAGUUCUAUUAUCAUUUCAUAUAUCAUGUUUAAUUUGUACUUCAUACUAUUAUAUUUUUUUGACCCAUAGUAAGUGUCGAAGUCGACCCUUCGUAACUACUUCUUUGAGGUUGGACUAGAUACUUACUUGGUACAUGUUAUUUAUGUACUCAUACUACACUUCUGCACUUGAUGUGUAGGAUCUGAGGCAGGUGCAUCUGGUUAUCAGUCCGGCGUGUACGCUUGACUUCUGGUCCGAGAUCACACGGUUAACUGCCCUUCCGAGCCAUUCAGCAGCAGCCAGAGUCUCUCUUUUGAUUUAUUUUCUGUUUAUUCUAUUUCAGACAGUAGAGCAGAGAUCUUUUGUAUAUUCUACUAGUAACCCAUACACUUGUGACACCAGAUCUUGGCACACACUAGUAGAUUUGUAUUUUUGGUUUUAUUCCUAUGGCCAUAAAUACAUUCAGCUGCUUUCGUUUUAUUAAUUUAAAUCUGUUUCUUAGUAAACCUAAGUAAAUUAAUAAAAGUUAUUUACUUGGGAAAAACUUAUUAAAAUGGGAAAAUGACUAGAUUGUUCACUGUUGGCUUUUCUAGUAAUGGUGCUAGGAGUCAUCAUGGCCUAAAAUGGAAUUGGGUCGUGACAACUUUGCUCUUGUCUUAGAUGUUGGCGUUCUGAUGCUAUUGGAAUUUAUUUUUCGAUAACCAACGCUGCUAGCCUCUGUUUCACAGUUUGUGUUACAUGCGCUUCACUUCUGAGGUUGGACAUACUGAUUUCGAAUAGUUGCUAUACUUGGCCGAUGAGAAUAAAUAUUUUGAGGCCUAGUGAUAAUUUUGACUGAUAAAGAACAAGAUACUGCACCGUCCUUCGGAUCCAGAACAAAAAUACAUUUAUGAGGCGAUGACGAAAGCCAAAAGAAAAAUAAAAGACGAGAAUGUAAAUGUCCGUGCUUCAGGAGGCAACACAGCUGGCCACCAGAGUUGCUACCAAAUCGGUGUUCACAUUUUAAAAUAUAUUGCUAUAUGGCAUACACCAUCCGAGCCUCCAAAACUAUUCUCUAAAUCAUUUUCAAAAGGGUAUUUCCUAUAUUAUCUUUUAAACUAUUUUCCAAAACUAUUUCUUAAAAUUAAUUUUCCAAAAACAUAUUUCAAACUAUUUCCUAAAACAAUUUUCCAAAAAUAUUUUCCAACUAUCUUCAAAACAAUCUUCCAAAUUAUAUUUUAGUAAGACCAUUUCAAAAAAAAAAAUUAGUUUAUUAUUUAUUUUAUAUUUUACUAAUAAUUUUACUUCUCUUGUCUUGCAAGGUACUAUCACACGAAGUUACUUACGGAACAAGACACUUUAAGAUAGAAAGAUAAAUUCCCGUCAAGUUCCCCAUUUCGCACUUCCUAUUCUAGGAUGUAUCCAAAAUCGCAAGUAUAGUAUAAACGCAGAUAUAUGUGUUUCCUUCUUGCUUUGAUAUUAGUCCAUUUGCUAAACACUUAUGACAAAAUACAUCUAGUUAAAAUUAACACUCGACAUGUAUGUCAAAUAAACGCGUAGCUUGCAUCUUUAAUUAGAUUAUUAGAUACGUUUUUGCAACUUGAUUAAUUGACUAGGAUUGAUACGAACCUAAUUAAUUGGACUAGGCAUUCGUUUUUCUAACAAGAUAAUUGUAUAUUUCUUUUACAUGAGAGCUAUCAUGUUUGGUUAUACUUUUAGGUCACUCAAUUUGUAAACUACUUACUUCACUCUAAGUAAAUACAUGUUUGGUGCAAAUCCAUGAUAAUUAAUCCUUUUCUGUGAAUAAUAUUUAGUAUGAUUAGUUUACAUAUAAUUGUGAAUAAUUAAUUAUCUUCUUGUUGGAUUUCCUCAAAGUCCGAAAUAUUCUACACAUUGUACAAUCAUUAGAUUCAUGUAAGUACAACCAUUGUAUUUGUCAAUAUUCUUUGAACGAUUCUUUAUUAGUCAUGUGUUUGUUAAAAGCUUCAUCUACUAUUCUUUUCAAGACCAUUCCAAAACAAACAUUCUUUCACAUAUUCUAUCCCAAAGUUAUUAAUCCCGAGUUAAUUCUCAUGGAUUUGUUAAUUUAAACCCCCAUCCAAAGAUUUUCAGUUGUCAAAACAUAACCGUUGUACUUCAUUAAUUAAAACGUAUACCUUCUUCAAAGCUUUCCAUCUCUAUCACAUAUUUUGUCUACUUCUUUUUGUAUAUUUAAUUACAUAUUUCAUUUUGUGCUUUAUUCCUUAUUAUGAAUAGAUAUCAUUCUUUACUCAUCAAAUCAAUUCUUUUACCUCAUUCGUUAUACACUAAGAUUAUUUGAAGGUGAGUCUUUGGGGACAACUCUUUCCAUUCUUGAUAACAUAGUAAGAGGUUCCGGGAAGACGAUAUCACAUUAAAGGACGAAGAUGCGGAUGUAUUACUGCUAUCACACAACGACGCACUGGUAAUUUCUAUUAAAGUGUUAGAUUUUAAAAUUAAACGUAUUUUAGUGGAUCCAGGAAGUUCAUCUAAUAUUAUACAAUGGAGAGUACUGAAACAAGCUAAACUCACCAGAAGCAUUAUCCUGGCAACCAAACUCCUCGCUGGGUUCAACCUCGCAAGCGUGACAAUCCAGGGAGAAAUUUUGCUUCUCACGAACGCCGAGGGAGUAAUGAAGACAACUCUCUUCGAAGUGGUAGAUGGAAACAUGGCAGCUGAUUUCGAUCAUCCCAAAAUAGGUCGAUAACCUUCCAAAGUCCACAAUAACCAUAUUCGUGACACAUACGAUCAACCGUCAAAUCAGGAACAAACUUCCUCAAUCCGCAACCAAAGAAACAGAGCGUCUCUUAGACAUAAACUCUCCAAUCAGCGACAGUACCCGAAUCUUCAUGCCUGAUUUCAAUCUUUACUACUUAAAUGACAGACACGUUACAAUUAUAUGAUCAUCCUGUGGGAGAUACUUCCACAACUUUCCACACCAGGUAGCAAAAUCUGAACAUCAAUGGCCACUAACCAUGUUGUUUCUGUAGUGCUAAUCAAAAUCCGCAAAUCAACACACGAAAGCCUCUUCCGCGAAACACACCAUCCUAUGGUAACACCAAAUUAGCGCCCGCCUCCUCUGAGCAUAUGAAAGAUCUACCGCUUCUUCGAACUCGUGACAUCCCUAUCAAAAUCGAGCUGCAACCUCAAUCCUUCAAUUCCAAUUCCAUACCGCUCACUGCAUCCAUCAUGUUAUUACGUGUGAGUGCAAGAAUUCCAUCCUAAAUACUGAACCAUUGGUAAAACAAACACUUCAUCAGCUAGAACCCUUCACUUACCUCAUUUCAGAAGAAAACUUGCAACAUGCAGCCAAAUUCCAAUAACCGCAGAAAACGCAAACCUCAAGUAGUGGACUAAACUACCAUAACUUUUUCGGGAUCCAUUCACACAUAACACAACCGUUGGAAUUUAAAUACCUCUAAAUCAACCAAAUUACGAAUACUGCCAAGCCCGCAAGUAUAGCCACAAAUACCUGUAUAGCCUUACCACAUCAAAGGAACCGAUCAUUUCCUUAACCAUGCUGAUCCAGGCCACUACUAACUGACUCAACUUCUUCUUAUUUACUCUUGACUUUCCUUCGAAGUAAUACCUCUUUUCAAAUACAUAACGAACCUCAAUCAACGCUCAUCCCGACUGACCCCAAAUUACGAGACCAUGCCGUAUCAAUACCCAUAAGCCAUUUUACACCCUUUCAUGUGCUCAAUAGUACUUCCAACUUCUACACCUGUUCUGAUAAGACCUCUUGUGAACCCAAAACUAUUUCUCACAUCUCCCUAACAUUGUACUGCGUACCGAUGAUAACAUAGAAAUACUCCAAGUACCCUUCAACCUUUGCUGCAAAACCCAAUCUCCAGCCACAUAAUAAACCUGAAAAUCCUUAUGAACCAGACCUCGAAUCUCGAAGUCAAUCCUCCUGGAUCCACACUCAUCCGCUAGCCAUAAGAAUCCGUUCAUCCAUUAACAUCAACUGAAGGUCCAACAAUAAUUUUAAAACUCGAAGCUAUAUUUCAUCCCAACAUGACAAUCAGGCAUUCUCAUUCCUCUACAUUCCAAGAAAACUCCUUUCUGUCAUAUUCAAACUUCUUAAGUAUCGAAGCUAUCAUCUCAAAUGAACUACAUAAACUUAUUCUUCUAUCCACCAUGUUAUUUCUCAUCCUUUGCUGCUAAAAAUGUUACCUCGAAUUGUGAUCCAUCUCUAUAACGUACGAACGAAUAAAAUACCACAACCUUUGAGCCCUCUCGAGGAUCAUCUCCCUCGAAUCGUCACUAAUAGAAACACCGAUGCGACCCUAAAGCCACUACAUACCGCCAUCUCUGAUAAUUGCUUCUUAGGUACCAUUUCACAACACCAUGCCCCAAAGGAAAACAAAUGAAAACCAUCAUACCGAUAAGUCUUAAUGCGUUCAAACAAGAACGACGACAUCACAACACAAACAAGAAUCUCAUCAAGUUUGAAAAUAUCAAAUAUGGCCACUCCAUUAACCAACACAUGAACAUCUGUAGCCCAAUUUGCCUCACCAGUAUUGGAAUGAAUACCAAACUUCCCAAUCAUGAGCUAACUAGUCCUCCUCCUGCAUCAUUCACUUCCACAACACAUAAGCAAUCACACUACCAUUCACACCAUCAUUAAAUGGGUGAAUUAAGUUGAAAAAUUUAGAAUAUCCUCUUGGUUUAAUUUGAAGAUUUGAGGGUCGAGUUGAGGUCUUAUUUUUGUAAAAUUAGUAUGGUUAGACUCAUGGUUGAAUAGGCUUUCGGAUUUUGUAACUUUUAUCGGGUUCCGAGACAUGGGCCCCACAUGCCAUUUUUGAGCUAAAUUUCGGAUUUUGUUGGAAAAUUAGUAUUUUAUUAUGGAAUUAAUUCCAAUAUAUUUUAUUGACUGAAUCAAAUUAUUUGUGGCUAGAUUCGAGGCGUUUAGAGGCCAAUUCAUGAGGCAAAGGCAUAGCAAAAUAAAGAAUUACACGGUUUGAGGUAAGUAACAGUUCUAAAUUUGGUCUUAAGGGUAUGAAACCCCGAAUUAUGUGUUAUGUGAUUGGUUUUGAGGUGACGCACAUGCUAGGUGACGGGCGUGUGGGCGUGCACCGUAGGAAUUGUGACUUGUUCAAUUCCAUGGAACUGUGUAGUUGAAUAAUCUGUUGGUACCUGUACAUUUUUCCACGUAUUAGGGAAAUUGAACUAUGAAUCAUGUUUAAACCAUGUGUUGACACUGUUAGGACCCACAGAGGUCGUGUACAUGUUGAAUUAUCUGUUAAAUUACUAUUUGUACUCGGUCACGGUUUUACUUGCAUAUUACAUCUCAGUCUCAUUUAUUCAUUAUUGUUGCAUCAUAUCAUUGUUGUUGGGCUGCUUAUCAUAAUUUCUGAGAGCCCGAGAGAUUGGAGAGGUUGAUGACUAAAUGAAGCCGAGGGCCUAAUUGUAAGGAUAUUUAUGGGAUCAGGCUGCAUGCCGCAGUAUGUUUCGUUGAUUUAUGCCAUGAUUGGCUUAUUAUAGCGCUUGGUCUAAAGGAGCCCCUCCGGAGUCUGUACACACCCUAGUGAGCGCAAGUACCUACUAAGUGCGAGUGCCGAGUGGUGAGUGCCGAGUAAUUGAGAGGAAUGAGUGACUGUGAGGAAUGAGUGACUGUGAGGAAAGAGUGAUUGUGAGGUUAGAGUGAAUGAGAGGACUGGGUGACUAUUACUCUAAGAGGAUGCAUUGAUUUCAUUAUUGCUGCAUUUCAGCUAGCAUAUAUCACUGUUUUGGAAAUUUCUGAAAGACACUAUCUUCUGCUUCAGUCGAAGUUGAUAUGAUAUUACUGUGCAAUUUCAAAUGUUGAACUUGAGAGCAUGCCUACCAUUUUUGUGUUAAAAAAUUACUGUAUUUGGACUUAGCUAAAGCUCGUCACUACUUUCAAUCCUUAUUUACUAUUGUUACUUAUUGAGUUGGUUGUACUCAUACUACACCCUGCACUUCGUGUGCAGAUCCAGGUGAUCCUCGGACACAGUGGGUGUUGAUUCUUUCGCACAUUUGAUUUUUCAGAGAUUUAGAGGUAGCUGUCAUGUUUCGCAGACCUUGUCUCUCCUUCCCUAUCUCCUUGUUUAUUGUAUUUGGUCUCAGACUAUUAUAGAUCGUAUUUUCCAUAUUUGUAAUGUAUAGAUACUCAUGUACUCAGUGACAUCAGGGUUUGGGAGUAUAUUUUUAUCUGUAAUUGUGAGGUUUUUUAUUAAAUUCAAUUAUUAUGUUUUCAAACAUAAAAGAAGCACUGAGAUAGCCGCCAUCACGACAUGUGUGAUUUUGGAUCAUGACAAGUUGGUAUCAGAGCCUAGGUUACAUAGAUCUCACGAAUCAUGAGCAAGUUUAGUAGAGUCUUGGGGAUCGGUAUGGAGACAUCUGUACUUAUCUUAGAGAGACUGCCGAACUCUUAGGAAAAAUUUCACUUUCUUCUAUUCUGUCGUGCGAAUUUGUUGGUUCCGAAAACUAAAUUUUCUAUGAUUCGAUUCUUUCAGGAUGGUGAGAACACCUACUACCAGAUCACACAGUCAGUCACCAGUGCCACCAGUUAGGGCCGCGAGAGGUCAGGGCCGUGGUAGAGGUCGAGGUGUAGCUCGUACAACAGUUGGAGCAGCACCUGUAGCACCACCAAUUUCUCCAAUUCAGGAGAAAAUUCCAGAUAUAGUUGAGCCAGCUGGGCCAGUCAGGCACCCGCUGUGCCCAUUUUGAUUCCAUGAAUGAGGUUCGAGACGAGUAUUCUGUGUUUUGGUGAUGGGCCAGUCUGGAGGACUUGAGGCUAGGGUUAGACCGCAGCUUAAGCUCGGUAGUUUCGGAUGUGAGAACUUGUGCGUUUGGACUUAUGUGUCGGUAGUAUUCUUAUGAGUGGAAUUUGUGCCUCGAUGGGCGGUUGAAUGACUAUAUGAUAAGUAUGAUGUGAAUGCGGGAUGUGUUAGGGUGGGUUGAAUGAGACGAAUAAAGUUUACUUGAGACUCAAGAGUCUGCUAUUGCGUACUUGAUUCCUGGUUUGAUGUGCCGUACAAUCUUGAGUUGUGAGUGCGUUGAGGGAUCUGUCGAAUCGGAAUCCAAUCCUGAUAUCAAAAAGUCCACUACCGGUCAAAAUCUCCAAAAAUUCGAUUUUCGCCAUUUCAAGCCUAAUUCUACUACGGACCACCAAAUCACAUUCCGGACGCGCUCUUAAGUCCAAAAUCACCCAACGGAGCUAACAAAACCGAUGAAACUCUAUUUCGAAGUCGUCUUCAUACAGUUCUGACUACAGUCAAAAUCUUAAGACUUAAACUUCCAUUUUAAGGACUAAGUGUCCCAAAUUAUUCCGAUACCACAACAAAACCUCUCGGCAAGUCACGUAAGCAGAAAACGAUACGGGGGAAGCAGUAAAUAGGGGAUAGGGCUAAUAUACUCAAAAUGACCGGCUGAGUCGUUACAACAAAUGUAUGAUAAUUGUAUUAGUAUUGUAUCAUUUAUCAUUUUAGGUAUUAAUGUAUCAGAUACUCAUACACGUUAGAUACAAUUGUGAUACAAGCAUGAUAUAUUUAUGAUACAAUUAAGUUUAAGGUAUUAAUGUAUCGGAUACACUUAUGAUAUAGUUAUCAUAAAAUUUUCUGCAACUUCUUUUUCGAGUUUCAAUCUGAAUUUUUACCUAAAUAAACUCUAUACUUAACCAAUUUCCCUCAAAACUGAGAUGUAAACUCCAAAGGAUAUUCUCAAUCACUUGCAAGAACACCUAAUCCAAAAUAUCGAAUUCAAAGCUUCAAAACUUUUUAAUUUAAUAUUUAGCAGCCAUAUUAAUUUAAAUUAAUCAACUGCUUAUUUUUCUCAUUAAUCAAAUAUAGUACAGUAAACCUUAUAUGUGUUGAUGAGUGCUAAACAUUAUGUAUAAUUUUCGUCCUAGGAAGUGGAGAGACAGCCAUUAAGUAAAAAGCCACGUGAAUUGGAAAUCAAAUUUGCAUGGUAGAAGAGGGAGAUAGGAUAUGAGAGGGGGAAAAAAAGGAUAUAACUGAAUACCUUAAUUGACGGCAUUAAUAAUGGGGUGAGUGAAUUUUAAGGGCGAUUAUAUAAAUUAUUAAAACAAUUAAGGUAUUUAUUGAAAACUGAAAAACUUUGAGAAAAAUGAUAAAUAAGUCCUUAUUAUAGUAUAUAUAUGAAAAACUUCCCAAUAGGAAUUACUGGAAAAAUUAUUUCAAAACUAUGUUCGGAAAUUGUUGAACUUUUAAUAAGACACCUAUUUAAAGGUGACAUGUCUCCUCUUUAUACGUUCGUGGGACCCACAUGACCACUAACUAAUUUUUUUUUUUUGCCAUUUAACUAAUUCAGGCUAUUUGUGGGCUUGUGGCUUUUACCCAGAGAUAGUGGACUUGGGCCUGACGUUAAAGUCGGAUCGUUGACACAUCAGAGCAGAAAGCCCAAUAUUUAGUGGGUUGAGCUAUCACAUUAUAGCCUUUGCCCAACUUCAUCGAAACCCUACUAUAAACUUUCUAGGGUUUUAAUGUGCUCUAUUCUGAUACAGCAGCAGCAACAGAUAGCUGACAACAACAAAGAUACUUCUCCGCCAAAGGUGAACAACUCCCUCCUUAUUUUCUCCCUAUCGUUAUAUGCAAACACUAAAAUCAUGAGAAAUGUAUUAUUUUAACUAUUAGAUUUAGCGCAGCAGGUGAAUAAUUGGAGCAGAGAAGAAGAAAUAGAUGCAGGUGAAGUAGCCGCUCCGGUGGAUGCAAGCGCAGAGAAUAAAAUUCACAACGAUGUUAUGCUUUUCAAUCGCUGGACCUACGACGAUGUUCGGGUAUCUUCCAUUUCUCUUCAUUCCUUUUAAAUAACUCAUUUUUUUCAUGGUGACAUAUUUAUUGAUGCUAAAAACUCCUUCCUUUUCCUAGAAUCAGCUAAAUGUAAUGUACUAUUUUUUAAAUUUUAUUUAUACAAGGAAAAUUACAACGUAUAGCACCUGAGUAUCUAAAGUUUUAGCUUUUAAUAAAUCAAACCAAUCUAGUUGAUGUAGCUUGAUAAAUAACUGAUUACUUCAACUCAACUAAUAAUACUAAUGAGCCAGAUGCGAGGCCAACAACAAUUAUACUAUGUUGCUCCAUUUAGCACUAGAUGUUUUCUGCAUAAUUUCUGCUUGUAUAUAGAUAUCUCUAACAAGACUGGAAGAUUCGUCGUAAAUAUUGGUGUCACUUACCUAUGUACAUCUUUCUCUUCCACUUUGCCAUAUAUUGUUUAAUCUUCACUAAUCCAUGAGAUUGUAAGUCUUUUCGGACAGCGCACUUCCAUGUGAUUUUAGGUUUACUCGUCCACUUUUAGAUGACGUUCAAUCAGCAAGGUUUCACUCCUAUUGACUGUUACCAGAUAGACAAAUAAGCUAACUCUCGGGUGAGGGGGGAGAUUAGGAGGGCAAUAUUAUGUGCUUUACUGUUUAGUUUCUUAUUCCAUGAAAUAGAAGAAGGAAAAGUAAGUAGGUGUUGCUAUUCAGUAAAAGUGAGUAAUUCUUUCUCAACAACAUUCUGGAAGUGGAGAACAUUGUGUUAGAGUUAUAAAUUUAAAAACCAACACAUACACUGGAGACAAAUAGAAAAUGAAGAGGGUUUACUAAUACCAAGGUGAUUGUUACUUCUGUUUCUACCUUUUUUAUGUGAGUAUUAUUCUUAAGUUCUUGUAUUGGAGAGGCUAGAACUUAUCUUGAAUAUACAAUUUGAAAGAUUUCUCUGUAACUAUGAUCUCACUUUUUGGUGAAGAUCAAUGUCAUAUCUGUUGAGGAUUACAUCACAGCAACUACUUCUAAGCAUCCAGUUUAUAUGCCACACACAGCUGGUAGAUACCAGGAUAAGCGUUUCAGGAAGGCCCAGUGCCCAAUUGUUGAGAGGCUCACUAACUCUCUUAUGAUGCAUGAACGGAACAACGGGAAGAAGCUAAUGGUUGUAUGCAUCAUCAAGCAUGCAAUGGAGAUCAUUCAUUUGUUGACUGACUAGAACCCAAUUCAAGUCAUUGUUGAUGUUAUCAUCAACAGGUGCAGGUGCGCACUAAUGAUCAGUGCUUAAUUAAUCCAAAUAUUCUUUAAUCUUUAUUUUAUUUCAACUGGGGUAACAAUGGACCAAUCUUAGUAUCAAAUGUUGUUUCAAUAUUUGCAGAUAUUGGUUUGCUCAUCUAUAUUUGCAAAUACUGAACAUUGAGUAUCCAAAAUGCUGGUGGAUCAUUUGAAAUGCUAGUUUGACAAGUAUAUCUCAAAUAAAAUAAUAAUUUUUUCUCACAUAUCUUCAAUUUUUCAAAUAUUUUUGUCUAAGUGGAGUUCAUGCCUACCAUAUAUGUCUCAUUUAUAGCUUUGUCUUCUGCAUUUGAUCAUCUAGUGGGCCAAGGGAAGAUGCAACUCGUAUUGGUUCGGCUGGUGUUGUGAGGCGUCAGGCUGUUGAUAUUUCUCCACUUCGCCGUAUUAACCAGGUAAUUUAUUUGCUGAUAACUGGUGCACGUGAGAGUGCUUUCCGGAACAUCAAGACCAUAGUUGAGUGCCUUGCAGAUGAACUCAUCAAUGCUGCCAAGGGUUCUUCAAAUAGGUAAAAUGCUUGAGAUUUUGAGUGUUCUCUGAUCUUAGAAAAUUAUAGAUAUAUUCCAAAUGUACUGCUUCGUUGUAAAAUUGUAUAAACUAGAUUGGUGAACCUUUUUUUUCAAAUCAAUUUUUUUGGAUAUGUGCGACUUUAUUGCUUACGGCUAUUGAUGAUUUUUGUUUCCGCAGCUAUGCCAUUAAGAAGAAGGAUGAGAUUGAAAGAGUUUCUAAGGCCAACCAUUGAGAGGUCAAUGGAUCAGUAUUUACAAUAUAGUUUUGGGUUAUGAUGUUUUCUCAUUUCUAUUUUCGUUUAGCACUAUAGCUUGUCAUGGAAAUGAAAGUGGAUCUGAGUAGCGCUACAGCUGUCAGGGAGUGUGAGGUACUUGCCUUUGGGAUCCCACUAGGUGCAGAGUUUCCAAAGUCAAGUCCUCUUCUGUUGCUACUAUGAUGUACUUGUAGCCAUGAAAGUGCAUCAGAGGACCUGUUCCAUUUACAAGUUAUGUCUAGCUCAUGCUUGACCUUGUUCAGAUCCUCUGUUAGGACUUUCACAUGUUCAUCCCUCUUAUAUAGCUCAUCUUUUACCUUUCCUAAAUCCUUUUCUAAUGUGAGUUAUGUGACACUAGCUAUUUCUUUACCUAUUCCUAACUUCAAUUUCAGAUUAUCAUAUCUAAGUUCUAAGAUAGUUGUGUCAAGUGCAUGAACCUGGUUCUUCAAAAUAGUAUUUUUAUUUUCAGUUUCACAAGCCCUAAGUUCUAGGUUUUUGCACUUUGCUUUCAAAAUGACACACUCAUUUGACAACUGUUCUUUUUCACAACUUAUAUUCUUAGAUUCAUCAAUUAAUGUUAGCAACAAUUCUGAUAAUCUAUCUUUAGAAAGAAACUUAAUUUUAUCCUUUAGGUCUAGAAAACUUAUCUCGGGUUCUUCUUCAUAUUCUUGAAUUGCUAUAAGAGCUCGUUCAUCAUCAUCAUCAUCAUCAAUGUCCUCAUCUAAAUUAUCUUCCUCAGCAGCAACCAUUGCUUUAUAUGGCCCUUUGUUGUAUUUCUUCUUAUCAUGAACUUGUUCCUUCUUUCUGUUUCUUCUUUUAUAUCUCUCCAUUUUCCACUCAACUUCCCACAUAGGACAGCUCUUGAUCAUAUGGUUCUUUUUACCAUAUUUGAAGCAUCCAUCAGUCACCUCCAAGUGAUCUCUUCUCAUCUCCUUCCACAAUAAAUACUAGUGAUCAUUGGAUAGUGGUGGCCUAGUGGUGGGCUCACAAUGUCAUGAAAAUCAGCCCAACAUGAUGAUGUGAUGUAUCAAUAAAUGGUAUCAAAGAUUGAGAUAUGUUAUGCAAAGGAAUGUGUAUGACUGAGUAUGUAAUUGCAAUGUAAACAAAUAACUCAACAGCAGGGAUGACCUCAGUGGGUCCCAACAGGAUAAGCAUAUAGCCUAGACAUGGUUUCUAUCAUGGAUCACAACCCAAUUACUAUAGCAAGUAGAGAUUUCAUAGAUACAAAUAAGAUUAGGUAACUACAUAAUACCACAGAAAUAACCGAGUCACAAUUCACACAGUGCACACACAUACGCUCGUCACCUAGCAUGUGUAUCACCUCAACACCAAACACAUAUCAUGUAUCUUCAGGGGUUCAUACCCUCAACACCAAGUUUAGAAAUGUUACUUACCUCAAAAAAACCAAAUCCAACACCGAGAAAGCCAAACGAUGCCCCAAAAAUGCCAUCCCGCGCGUACCGACCUCUGAACGGCUCGAAACUAGUCAAAGCAACUCGAAUACAUAAAAUAAUGCCUAAGGAAACAAUUCCAAAUGAUAAAGGUCGAAUCAUUAAUCAAAACUCCAAAGUCAACCAAAAAGUCAAACCUAAGCAUGCACAUCGGAACCCAACAAAACUCACAAAAUCCAUCAACCCAUUUAAUUACGAGUCCAAGCAUACCAGUUUCACUCAAAUUCGACUCUGAAUCGAUAUUCAAAACUCAAGAAUUCACUCUAUGAAACUUUAGUCAAAACCUCCCAACUUUCUCUUUUGAAAUCAUCAACCAAAUGCUAAAAAUAAAGAUAGAUUCAUGAAAUAUAAAUAAAACCGAGUAGAGAACACUUACCCCAAUCCAUAUGGUGAAAAUCGCUUCAAUCCGAGCUCCAUAGCUCCAAAUAUGCAAAAAGGGCCGAAACCUCCGAAAUAGAGUAAUAUAUAAUCACAGGGCAAAUUAAUGAACCGCAAUCCCGGAACAACCUUCACAAUCGUGAUGAAUAACCUACACUGCCUCCACGAAUAUGCUACGCAAUCGCGAACCUGGUCAUGCGAACGCGAAUCACACAGGCGCCCACACUCCGCGACCGUGUUCCCUAAUACGUGAACGCUAUGAAGAAGCUCUCAGCUCAGCCCUAUGCAAACGCGAUGCCCAAUCUCCAGAAACAAACGCGAAAAUCUACUCGCCAACGCGAAGAAAGAACUACUCAACUCCAGAUUUUUCAUCUACGCGAUCACACCUCUAACUUCGCGAUCGCAAAGAAAACUUGGUGCACCUAACACCAGUAGGAACCAGCAAGGCCAAAUUGAAAGAAAAUGAUCUGAAAUACAUCUACAACUCACCCGAGCCCCUCGGGACCCUGUCCGAAUAUACCAACAAGUCCCAUAACCUAACACGGACCUACUUAAGGUCUCAAAUCACGCAUAACAAUAUCGAAAUGACGAAUCACACUUCAAAUCAAACCUAAAUGAACUUUGAACUUUCAACUUCCAAAAACUCGCGUCGAAACAUAUCAAAUCAACCCGAAAUGAACUCAAAUUUUGCACACAAGUCCCAAAUGACAUGGUGAAGCUAUUCUAAUUCCCGAAAUCAUAAUCCGAAUCUGAUAUCCUCAAAGCCAACUCUCGGUUAAACUUAUGAACUUUCCAAGCCUUCAAAUUUCUAACUUUCGCCAAUUAGCGCCGAAACUUUCUAAACUUAUCAAAAUGCAAAUCCGAGCAUACACCCAAGUCCAAAAUCACCAUCCGGACCUAACUAACCAUCAAAACUCCAUUCCGGGGUCAAAUACAUAAAAGUUAAACUUGAUCAACUCUUCCAACUUAAAGCUUCAAACAUGAAAUUCUUUCUUCCAAAUCACUUUUGAGUAACCUGAAAAUCAAAAUCGACGAUUCAUACAGUCAUAAUACAUUAUACGGCUCAUGCCCUCAAACUAUCGAGCGAAGGGAAAAAUGCUCAAAAUGACCUGUCGGGUCGUUACUACUAUAAUUAUAAUAUAAUAUUAUAUCAGAUUUUUAGUUUAGAGUUGUGAUUAAAAUUUGAAGAAGAUGAAGAUCAUAAUUAUAUCAUAAUUUUUCAGAAAUGUAUCGCGGUUUGUAUCACAAAUGUAUGAUAAUUGUAUUAGUAUUGUAUCAUUUAUCAUUUUAGGUAUUAAUGUAUCAGAUACUCAUACAAGUUAGAUACAAUUGUGAUACAAGUAUGAUAUAUUUAUGAUACAAUUAAGUUUAAGGUAUUGAUGUAUAAGAUACAAUUAUAAUACAGUUAUCAUAAAAUUUUCUGCAACUUCUUCUUCGAGUUUCAAUCUGAAUUUUUACCUAAACAAACUCUAUACUUAACCAAUCUCCCUCAAAAUUGAGAUGUAAACUCCAAAGGAUAUUCUCAAUCACUUCCAAAAACACCCUAUCCAAAAUAUCGAAUUCAAAGCUUUAAAAUUUUUUAAUUUAAUGUUUAGCAGCCAUAUUAAUUUAAAUUAAUCAACUACUUAUUUUUCUCAUUAAUGAAAUAUAGUACAGUAAACCUUAUAUGUGUUGAUGAGUGCUAAACAUUAUGUAUAAUUUUCGUCGUAGGAAGUGGAGAGACUACCAUUAAGUGAAAAGCCACAUGAAUUGGCAAUCAAAUUUGCAUGGUAGAAGAGGGAGAUAGGAGAUGAGAAAAUAAAAAAGAAAGGAUAUAACUGAAUACCUUAAUUGAACGAAUUAAUAAUGGGGUGAGUGACUUUUAAGGACGAUUAUAUAAAUUAUUAAAACAAUUAAGGUAUUUAUUGAAAUCUGAAAAACUUUGAGAAAAAUGGUAAAUAAGUCCUUAUUAUAGUAUAUAUAUGAAAAUAUUCCCAAUAGGAAUUACUGAAAAAAUUAUUUCAAAGCUAUGUUCGGAAAUUGUUGAACUUUUAAUAAGGCACCUAUUUAAAGCUGACAUGUCUCCUCUUUAUACGUUCGUGGGACCCACGGGAUCACUAACUAAUAUUUAUUGCCAUUUAACUAAUUCAGGCUAUUUCUGGGCUUGUGGCUUUUACCCAGAGAUAGUGAACUUGGGCCUGGCGAUAAAGUCGGAUCGUAGACACAGCAGAGCAGAAAGCCCAAUAUUUAGUGGGUUGAGCUAUCGCAUUUUAGCCUUUGCCCAACUUCAUUGAAACACUACUAUAAAUUUUCUAGGGAUUUAACGCACUCCAUUCUCUGAUACAGCAGUAGCAACAGACAACAGCAAAGACACUUCGACGCCGAAGGUGAACAACUCCCUCCUUAUUUUCUCUCUAUCGUUAUAUGCAAACACAAAAAUCAUGAGAAAAGCAUUGUUUUAACUAUUAGAUUUAGUGCAGCAGGUUAAUAAUCGGAGCAGAGAAGAAGAAAUAGAUGCAGGUGUAGUAGCCGCUCCGGUGGAUGCAAGCGCAGAGAAUAAAAUUUACUGCGAUGUUAUGCUUUUCAAUUGCUGGACCUACGACGAUGUUCAGGUAUCUUCCAUUUCUCUUCAUUCCUAUAACUCGUUUUUUUCAAAGUGACAUAUUUAUUGCUGCUAAAAACUCCUUCCUUUUCCUAGAAUCAACUGAAUGUAAGGUACUAUUUUUUAAAUUUUAUUUAUAUAAGGAAAAUAUCAACUUAUAGCACUUGAGUAUCUAAAGUUUUAGCUUUUAAUAAAUCAAACCAAUCUAGUUGAUGUAGCUUGGUAAAUAAUUGAUUAUUUCAACUCAACUAAUAAUAUUAAAUAAUUGGUAAAGAUUUCACUAUAACUAUGAUCUCACUUUUUGGUGAAGAUCAAUGACAUCUCUGUUGAGGAUUACAUCACAGCAAUUGCUUCCAAGCAUCCAGUUUAUAUGCAACACACAGCUGGUAGAUACCAGGCUAAGCGUUUCACGAAGGCCCAGAGCCCAAUUGUUGAGAGGCUCACCAACUCUCUUAUGAUGCAUGGACGGAACAACGGGAAGAAGCUAAUGGUUGUCCGCAUCAUCAAGCAUGUAAUGGAGAUCAUUCAUUUGUUGACUAACAAGAACCCAAUUUGUCACGACCCCAAAUCCACUAGUAGUGAUGGCACCUAGCCCAACCCGCUAGGUAAGCCAACCAGUAACUAUCCAAUUCUAAUGAUAUUAAUAGGACAAAUAAACGAAGGUAAUUUAAUUAAUUUAUACAUUUCCCAAGGACUGGUAGUACAAAUCAUGAGCUUCUAAGAAUAAAGUUUACAAAGCUGAAAUGAAAUAAAUACAUAGUCUGUUUGAAAAGUAUAUAAACAAGGUUUUAUAGAUCUAAGGCUACAACGAACAAGAGGCAGCUGCAACCGGGACACAUGUACAUCUUCAAUCCAGCUCCCAUCUAACACAGCAAUAUCAGCAGCCAACAUCUGCAUAUAAGGUGCAGAAGUGUAGUAUGAGUACAACCGACCCUAUGUACUCAGUAAGUAACAAACCUAACCUUAGGUUGAAAGUUGUAACGACCAAACACAAGGUCGGGUACGAUACCAAUAUUCCACAAUAGUUCAUAACAACAAAACACAGGUAAUAAAAGAGGUAUCUCAGUGAAACUCAAAUCUUUUACCGAAUAUGCCAAAACACGAGUAAGUUUGAAAACUGUGAUUCUUCCCAAAAAUCCUUUCAACAAUAAGUAAAAUGUUUCAUUUUCAGAUAGCAUAAGGAAAGUACGUCUCUACGCCUAUAUGUCAAGAUACAGGUAAAAUCAUAAAUGUCCCAAAAUUGGGUAGCAAAAAGAAAUGCAUCUUUAUGCAUGUAUCUCAAGUACGCAUAUCAAAUGCAAUGCAUCUCGAUGAUGAGCUCGUAUACUCACACUCUCAUAGUACUCAAUCUCAUUGUCCCGCAUCCUCUCUCACUAUGCUCAAUGCUCAGCACACUCAAUCACUAAGCGUUGUACAAUACCCGCUGCGGCGUGCAGCCCGAUCCACAUAUUUAUAGUCGAUUGCGCUCACUGGGGGUGUGCAGACUGCGGAGGAGCUCCUUUCAGCCCAAGCACUAUAAUCCGCACGGACAACUCACGUGCUGCACGGGCAACUCACGUGCCAUAAUAUCAAUAUCUAGAUCCGCACGGACAACUCACGUGCUAUAUUAUCAAAAUCUGGAUCCGCAUGGACAACUCACGUGCUGUACAGACAACUCACGUGCUACAGUAUCAAUAUCCUCAAAAACAGGCCCACCGGCCUCACUCAGUCAUCAAUCUCUCCAAUAUCACUCACGAGCUCACAAUGUCAUGAAACUAGCCCGACAAUAAUGAUAUGAUAUAUCAAUAAAUAACAACUGAGACUGAGAUAUGAUAUGAAUGCAUGAAUAUUACUGAGUACGAUAUAUCAAUGAAAUCAGUGAGAUGGCAGCAAGAAACGACCACUAUGGGUCCUAACAAUAUCAGCAUAAAGCCUAAACAUGAUAUUUAGUAUGAUUGACAGUUCAGUUACAUUAUCACAUGGUGAUAACAUAGAUAUCAACAAAAUAGGGCCACUAUAUAGUGCCAUGGAAAUAACGGAGUCAUAAUUCAUAGGGUGCACGCCCACAUGCCCGUCACCUAGCAUGUGCAUCACCUCAAUACCAAUCACAUAACAUAUAUUACGGGGUUUCAUACCCUCAGCACUAAGUUUAGAAGAGUUACUUACCUCGAACGUGCCAAUACCAAUGCCAAGAAAGCCAAGCGGUGCUUCAAAGAUUCCAUCACGCGCGUAGAGACCUCCGGACGGCUCAAAACUAACCAAAAGCAACUCAAAUACAUCAAAUAAAGUCCAAGGAAAUAAUUCCAAAUGAUAAAGAUUGAAUCUAAUCAAAACCCAAAACCGGCCAAAAAUAACACCCCGGGCCCGCGCCUCGAAACCCAACAAAUCUCACAAAAUCGUACAACCCAUUCAAUUACGAGUCCAACCAUACUAGUUUCACUCAAAUCCCACUCCAAUUCGAUGUUCAAAACUCAAAAAUUCAUAUUAUGAAACUUUAGGCCAAAACCCCCAAUUUCCUCUUUAAAUUCACAAUCCAAUUACCAAAACGAAGGUAGAUUCAUGAAAUAUAACCAAAACCGAGUAGAGAACACUUACCCCAAUUCAUAUGGUGACAUAUGCUUCAAAUAUCGCCUCAAUCCAAGCUUNNNNNNNNNNNNNNNNNNNNNNNNNNNNNNNNNNNNNNNNNNNNNNNNNNNNNNNNNNNNNNNNNNNNNNNNNNNNNNNNNNNNNNNNNNNNNNNNNNNNNNNNNNNNNNNNNNNNNNNNNNNNNNNNNNNNNNNNNNNNNNNNNNNNNNNNNNNNNNNNNNNNNNNNNNNNNNNNNNNNNNNNNNNNNNNNNNNNNNNNNNNNNNNNNNNNNNNNCCUCAAAUUGAAAUCUAUGAACUUUGAACUUCAAACUUCCACAACCGAUGCCGAAACCUAUUAAAUAACGUCCGAUUGACGUCAAACUUUACACACAAGUCCCAACUGACAUAACGAAGCUAUUCCAAUUCCCGAAAUCACAAUCCGAAUCCAAUAUCAAAAAGUCCACUCCAGGUCAAACUUUUCAAAAAUCCAACUUUCGCCAUUUUAAGCCAAAUUUUACUACUGACCUCCAAAUCACAAUUCGGACGCGCUCCUAAGUCCAAAAUCACCCAACAGACUUAACGGAACCAUCAAAAUUCCAAUCCGAGGUCAAAUGAUAAAAAGUCAAACUUGGUCAAGUCUUUCAAAUUUAAAGCUCCCUAGUUGAGAACUAUUCUUCCAAAUCAGUCCCGAAUAACCUGAAAACCAAAACCGACAAUUCACACAAGUCAAAAUACAUCAUAUGGAGCUACUCAUGCCCUUAAACUACCGAGCGAAGUGCAAAUGCUCAAAAUGACUGGUCGGGUCGUUACAUUCUCUCCCACUUAAAUAUACGUUCGUCCUCGAACGUGCCAAGAAUUCUUCCCAAAACCAUCAAACUGCCGUAUAACCUUACCAUGCAUGUACCCGGGGUGAUCCCACGUCACCCGAUCCCAUAUAGGUUCGAUAAUACAACAUAACUAAAAUUUCUCAAUUCAACCUAGUCCAUAAGCCUUAGAAUCCAAUUUUCCAGCAUCCGAAAUUUCUAAUAAGAUCUGAAUCUCGCAACCUACACGCUGCAUAAGUCUGAACAAACUAUACCAAACUGCAACCAUCACCCAAGCUACAAUCACAGGAUAUACCACCUAACUCAAAUACCCAUAGCAAAAUCUCCAAUCAUAGUAACUACUCAGAACAACCCAAUCCCGGUAAUAAACCUCAUACCUAACAAAACCUCAUUCUAAAACCUUCGUACACCGCCGAUAAUGAAAGAACACGCAGAAACUCAUAAUCAUUCAUCAAAUCAACAAGUCGUGGAGCUCCCUCUCCUUCAACAAGAACUAUAGCCAAUUCCUAAGCCGACUUCCGAUAUUAUCCUUCAAAUAUACCGCAAUCAAAUCCGAUAGCACCUAUCCUAGAUCCAACGACUCCAUCUUAUCGGAUACCAACUACUCUACUGACACGCAACACCCAUACUACUCAGAGCCACAAACCAUGCAAUCCAUGAACCAAUAAACAACAAUCCAAAUGUACUCAAUCAUAAAAAUGACUCAAUCAAGAGAACCGUCCCGCAAGCUCAACGGGUACCACCACAACGCAAUACUAAGAACCCAUCACACAUCGUAGGACCAAAACACACGAAUCUAAUGCAAGGGAUCAUACCUAAACAUAACUCCGCUGCAAUGCGCAACUCCAUCCAAACGCUGAUCCAUAUCAUAUGCCUCGAGCCACUUUGCGCCUUCGCAGAUGCGAAGCAAUCGCCGCUUCUGCCGAACCCUGCUCUCAGCAAUAUUUUCGCUCAUGCGACCCCUUCGUUGCUUUUGCGACCAUCGCACAUGUGCAAACCAGCCGCAAGUGCGGUCACACCAGAACCAGCAAUAGCAACAUUGAAGAAAAUGAUUCGAAAUCAAUUUAAAACACGCCUGAGUCCCUCGGGACUCCGUCCAAACAUACCAACAAGUUCCAUAACACAAUACGGACCUACUCGAGGCCUCAAAACACACAUAAAAAUAUCAAAAUGACGAAUCACACCUCAAAUCUAAAUCUAUGAACUUUGAACUUCAAACUUCCACAACCGAUGUCGAAAUCUAUCAAAUCACGUCCGAUUGACGUCAAACUUUGCACAUAAGUCCCAAAUGAUAUAAUGAAGCUAUUCCAAUUCCCGGAAUCACAAUACGAAUCCGAUAUCAAAAAGUCCACUCCCGGUAAAUCUUUUCAAAAAUCCAACUUUCGCCAUUUCAAGCCAAAUUCCACUACGGACCUCCAAAUCACAAUCCAGACGUGCUCCUAAGUCCAAAAUCACCCAACGGACCUAACGUAACCACCAACAUUCCAAUCCGAUGUCAAAUGCUAAAAAGUCAAAUUUGGUCAACUCUUUCUAAUUUAAAGCUCCCUAGUUGAGAACCAUUUUUCCAAAUCGGUCCCGAAUAACCUGAAAACCAAUGAUUCACACAAGUUAAAAUAUAUCAUCCGGAGCUACUCAUGCCCGUAAACUAUCGAGCAAAGUGCAAUUACUCAAAACGACCGGACAAGUCGUUAUACAAUUCAAGUCAUUGUUGAUGUUGUCAUCAAUAUGUGCGCACUAGUGAUCGGUGCUUAAUUGAUCCAAAUGUUCUUUAAUCUUUAUUUUGUUUCAAUUGGGUAACAAUGGACCAAUCGUAGCAUCAAAUGUUGUUUCAGUAUUUGCAGAUAUUGGUUUGCCCAUCUAUAUUUGCAAAUACUGAACAUUGAGUAUCCAAAAUGCUGGUGGAUCAUUUGAAAUGCUAGUUUGACUAGUAUAUCUCAAAUAAAAUAAUGAUUUUUUCUCACAAAUCUUCAAUUUUUUAAAUAUUAUUUUCUAAGUGGAGUUCAUGCCUACCAUAUAUGUUUCAUUGAUAGCUUUGUCUUCUCCAUUUGAUCAUCUAGUGGGCCAAGGGAAGAUGCAACUCGUAUUGGUUCGGCUGGUGUUGUGAGGCAUGGGGCUGUUGAUAUUUCUCCACUUCGCCGUGUUAACCGGGUAAUUUAUUUGCUGACAAUUGGUGCACGUAAGAGUGCUUUCAGGAACAUCAAGACCAUAGUUGAGUGCCUUGCAGAUGAACUCAUCAAUGCUACCAAGGGUUCUUCAAAUAGGUAAAAUGAUUGAGACUUUGUGUGUUCUCUGAUCUUAGAUAAUUAUAGAUAUAUUCCAAACGUACUGCUUCGUUGUAAAAUUGUAUAUACUUGAUUGGUGAACCUUUUUUUGUCAAAUUGAUUUUUUUGUUUAACCAGCUAUCUAUGCUAUUCUAUUGUUGCCCUGGUUCAUCAUGUUCAUAUUGUAUUUUUGAGUUCUUAAAUUGGUGUUUGGUUUUCAUACUAGUACUAUUCGACAUGUACUAACAUCUCUUUUACCGGGGGCACUGCAUCUUUAAUGGAUGCGGGUGGUUCUACAGCGGAGGAUAUUGACCCGUGAUAGCGGUGCUCAUUCUUCCCAGCUGACUUGGUGAGCCACAUCUCAUUCCGGGGUUGUGCAUAUUUUGUUUCGUAUGUGUUCUCUUGUUUUGAGGUAUAGCCAGAGCCUUGUUGCCAGCACUAUCAUUGUACUCUUUGGUAUUUUAGAGGCUCCGUAGACUAAGUGUGGGGUGUGUAUGGGUGUUGGAAAUGUUAAACUAGUUGUGUUGUGAGUAAAUCACUUGUUCCACUUUGAACCAUGAAGGUGUGAGUAUGUGUGUUUUGAGACUUAUUAAUGGAGUAACUAAUGGUAAUGAACUGGUAUUGUAGACAUGAUCACCUUAUUGUCUAAUUAAUAAAAAUAUGUAUUAUCCUUAUUCAUGGAUGAGUUUGGGUAGAAGAAAAUCUAAUAGGCUUGCUCGUCGGGUUCACUUGGUUGAGCGCCGAUCGCGCUCUCUGAGUUUGGGGCGUGACAGAAUCAUACCCCAAUUCAAGUCUAAUGAACUUUGAAAUUUCAAAUUUCUACAAACGACGUCAGAACUUAUCAAAUCAAGUACGACUGACCUCAAAUUUUGCACACAAGUCAUAAAUGACAUAACAUAACUAUUCCAAUUUUCAGAAUCAGAUUCCGACCCCGAUAUCAAAAGGUCAACCCACUGGUCAAACUUUCCAAAAAUUCGACUUUCGCUAUUUCAAGCGUAAUUCCACAACAGACCUCCAAAUAAUUUUUCGGACACGCUCCUAUGUCCAAAAUCCCAUACGGAGCUAUUGGAUUCAUCAGAAUUCAAUUCCGCAGUCUUUUACACAUAAGUCAAUAUCCGAUCAACUUUUCUAACUUAAGUUUUUAAUUAUGAGACUAAGUGUCUCAUUUCACUCCGAACUCCUUCCGGACCCGAACCAACUAACCCGGUAAGUCAUAAAAUAAUUGUAAAGCUUAACUUGAGCGGUAAAUGGGGAAACGAUGUUAUAAAACUCAAAAUGACCGCCCAGGUCGUUACAAUAAAGCUGAAAGGUACAAAUUGAAAACACAUACUACAAUUGAACUAGAAUAAAAGACAAACGCUUGGAACUGGUUCUUCUAUCUGGUUCAUGUAACUUUAGGUUCGUACACUUGAAUCACACAAGAAUUGCUUGCAAAAUGCCUUGCUAUUUUGCUCUCAACUCACGCUUAACUUCAGCGUUUGUCCGUACCUAUAGAAUGAGAACAUCCUGCAAUAUAUAGAGUUAAUAGAAUAGGAAAUAACUAGAGUUCUAAUGCUACUCUUCCUUGGUGGAAGAGUUCUAAUUAUCUUCAACUUCUAACUCUUUCCUUAUCUUGGAUAGAGUUCUCUUCAAGUAAGGAGUCCUGGUCCUUAUCAAAUAUGCAACAUUUUCGUUCAGGGAUUAUCAUAAAUAACCACUUAUACUUAUCCCUUUUAUGUACAUGCCUUUUGCUUGAUUCUGCCCGUCACCUGUGUACACUGUCCAUGGACCUGAUUCAUGCAUGUGUUCCUUUGUCAAUCAUCAAAACCAAAACCGCUCAGCCAACAUUCAAACAAGCUGCCUUAAAUUAUUGUUGAACCAAAGCCUUCAAUUUUUAGAGUUUAGCCGAUGUAGCAGUUCAAUAACUAUAAGUACUCAAUCCAAAUCAAAGGCGGAUUUAGGCAGAUUAAGCAAUAGUUAUUGGAUGCAUAUUCUGCAUAUUUUUUUUUUGUUAAUCAAAAUUUUAAUAUGCUGCACAUAUUGCAUUUAUGGUACAUUCUCUAUAUUAGUUUAUUUGUUAAUAUGUAAUUUUGUGUAAGAAACUUGCAGUUGGGGUUGAAAAGUAUAGCAAAACAUUUGGUAGUAUUUUUUCAUUUUGUUAUCUACUUAUUUAUAUUUUGUUAUUGGUUUGUUUUACUAGAUUGUAUAGAUAUCAACUUUUGAAAAACUGUUCUUCCAUAUUUAAUGAUAAAACAACACCUGCAAGUUCUGUGACUGUCGAGGGUAAUCCAGUAGCUACAUGUAGAAAAAGGGUUAAAACAUGAAAUUACUUUCAUAUUCUAUGAGGAUUGUAGGAUUAGAUGUAAUUGUAGUUUUGCAUUAUUUUCAGUAAUAAAAGAAUCUAUUAAAGCCAUAAUUAAAUUGGUAGAACUUAGGGUAGAAAUUAAACAUACAAUAGCAAGAACAAAUGCAACUAAAUUAAGUAUAUUUACCAUUAAAGAGUAGCAAGCUUUUACACUUGUCAAAUAAGAUAUAUUUAUUCCUCAAAAUUUUGCAACUUGCUUGUCAAAAUUUUCAAGAUGAACAACAAUAACAUGAAUGUGAUUGAUAUAUUCAUUUUACUUGUUAGUUUGUAAGAUCAUAAUAUAACUUAAUUAUACUUUUGGAUUCAUCCAACCUAUUCACGUGUGAUCAUUCAAAAUUGAUUAUUUGUCUAGUUGAAUUAUCCAAAUCCGAUUCCGAAGUAAAAAUUGCAUAGGGUGCCCUAUUUGGUCGCCCAUUUUUAACUUAUACCCGUUUUGUUUUUUCGUUUGCAUCCGUGCCCAUUUUUUUUUUGUUAAAAGCAUUUUUAAAAUGCGAUUUUUUCAUUCUUUAAUAAAAGACUAUUGACAAAACUGUAUACUGCAGGGCAAAAUUUCAGCAUGUUUUGGUAUGAAAUUUUAGCAAAUGAACUAAAUAACUUCUGCAUGCAUUAGAAAAAACUAAUUAGAAAAUUACAUACUGCAAGACAAAAAUUUAAGCAUGUUUAGUUUGAAAUUUUAGCAAAUAAACUAAAAAUAUUCAGCUUGUUUAGACUGUAGUUUCGGAUAAAACUCAUGACAAAACUGUAGACUGCAUGACAAAAUUUCAGCAUAUUUUGGUACAAAAUUUUAGCAAAUGAACUAAAUAACUUCAGCAUGCAUUAGCAAAAACUCAUUAGAAAAUUACAUACUGCAAGACAAAAACUUAAGCAUGUUUAGUCUGAAAUUUUAGCAAAUGAACUAAAAAACUUAAGCAUGUUUAGUCUGAAGUUUAAGCAAAUGAAUUAAAAAACUUAAGCAUGUUUAGUCUGAAGUUUUAGCAAAUGAACUAAAUAACUUCAACAUGCAUUAGCAAAAACUCAUUAGAAAAUUACAUACUGCAAGACUUUACGAAUUUUUAGUCUGAAGUUUUAGCAAGUGACUAAAAACUUAAGCAUGNNNNNNNNNNNNNNNNNNNNNNNNNUGACAAAGCUGUAGACUGCAGGAUAAAUAACUUCAGCAUGCAUUAGCAUGAAGUUUUAGCUUCAAGGUGAAACAACUUCAUAUAAGUGUGAUUCUGAAGAUGAAUCUGGACAAAUUUCUGAUUUUUCUGAUAAAGCUGCUGAGAGGAGAGGAGGAGAUACUUUUUCACGAAUGAGGUUGCAGAUUACGCGAUUAAUAUGUGAUGCAGGUUUUAUAUCUUUUGUUAGGGGUGUACUUGUCAUAUUAUUACGGAUUUUUUGUCAGCUGACUACCAAAUCAAUAAUUUUUAAAAAUAGGGUACAAGUUAAAAUAUAACACAAAUAUAGGGUACGACUGCAAAUUCUCCGAUUCCGAAUGAUUAACUCCGAACAUGAUAGUCUCCUAAAGACGAUAGUGAAAAUAAAAGCAAAAGGUAAUUGACUUGCAGUAAUUGGAUUUGGGCCCGACGACAAAGUCGGAUCCAGGACAUAGGAGCAGAAUGCCCAAUAUUUACUGGGCCGAGCUAUCGCAUUAUAGCUUUUGCCCCCUUCCUCGAAACCCUACUAUAAAAUUUCUAGGGC